rnacentral:lncRNA from 1 species
UCUGUUUUGAUUACACAUCUCUCUGAACUGAAAAGUAUGCAGGUUCUUAAUGAUUCUGGAGAUGAUGCAGAAAAGGAGAUAGUCCUUUUAUAAGUGAAAAAUAUUUAAAACAUGGGAAGAAUUACAUGCUGUGAACUAAGUGAUCUGCAUGAGAGUCUGCACAAAGAUUGGAAGACAAGCAUGAAAAUGUUGUUCAUCUGGAUCCCACAGAGUCUGCACCCAGGGGUAAGGAUACAUUUAUGGAGGGUUCUUCUAUCUUUUUUGACUAUUUGUUUUUAUAGUUGUUCUUUUCAUUCUUAAUGAUCCCAACCUUUUUUAUUAGCACUUGAAAAGUAUUUGUGACAUUUUAGGAUAUAAAAAGUAAAAAUAAAAUACUUCAAUAUCCAGAAUAUAAAAAAUAAACUCUAAGUCUAUUUUUUAAAUCACUUUUUACAACACAUUCCCAGAAAAUUAUGUGCACUGUUCAUUUCUCAUGCAAUUGUGGAAACAACCAAAUGUCCUUGAUGAAAAGAAAAAAACAGAACAUUAAACUUUGGCCCUGCUCCCUGGGAUUUGAAGACCUUAUAUAUUAGAGCUGUCAAGGAUGGAAGAAAGUUAAAUAAGAUAAAUGAAAAAGAUCAAAUAACCAUCCCUAAACCUCUUACUUGAUGUCAUCUACAGUAGGGAAUCCAUAAUUUCAUUUUUCUGUACUCUGAUAGGCCAGACAUGUCAGAUGUAUUUAUAAAUAUGCUAUGAUAGACAUAGGAUGAAUCAUUUAUUGGCCGCCUUCUUAUUCAUGACAGCUGAAAUGCUAUAUUGUUAGGUACCCCUCCCCCAGACUUUUUAUUCUCUAAUGAUGUCAUUUUGACAUUUUUUUUUUUGCUUUCCAGUACUUAUCUAUAACCCUCAUAGUCUACUAAUUACAUCUAUAAAUGAAUCACAAAUCAAAUUAUUCUUAUAUUUUAAAGAUUCUUAUUGUCUAUUUAUAUGUAUUUUUAUAGUUCAGGAGAGAAAAAUUAAUUUGUACAGGUUAACUUUUCAAAAACAGCAAUAUUUAUGUGAGGGUAAAUUAUAACAACAGAACCAUAAGGAUUUUAUUUUUGUUUAAUGCACAAUAAAGUUAAAUUAAUUAAUCAAGAGCACAGCAAUUAGCAAUGGUGUUGUGGACAAAGCUUUAUAUAUCAGAUUAUUUUCUACUUUCUACAUUCAUACAUUUUAGUUAGAGAAUUGAACCCCUGAAAGAGCUUGUAGUAUUUUUCCUACAGUACAAGAAUAAACAAGGUGAUUCUUCCUGUGUUAUCAGUUUUACAUGAUGAUAUAUUAACAUUAUUUUAUGCUAAACAAAACAUGGAUAGUUUAUGACAUAGGAUGUAUCUUCACUAUGGUUUUAAAAGAUUAAAAAUUGUGAAAUAUAACAGUGGCAUGACUUUGAAAGAUUUAAACAUCAGAACUUUGAAGUAAGUUUACAUUUGCAGCAGGGUCAUUACUGCUUAUACUCCACAGAUUAUCCCUUAUAGAUUAAGUUCUUGGUUAGGGCAACAUUUGGUAACUUAUGGAAUAUUUUGAGAAGUACUUCUCUAGUCUAUCGUACGUUCUUAUUAUGGAAAAAAAAAUGCUCCAAGUGUUUGCUUGGUGUAUGUAUGCUGACCCUAAGCCCAUUCUGUUAUCCAGGCACAUUCUAGAAAACAUACAAUGAACCUUGUCUUGUACCAUUUCAGAGUCAAGGACAAAGGUGGCAGGAAGAGCAUCUUCACAGAUGAAAAGUGGAAACUCAGUGCAGAGAGGGGUCAUAAGUGGGUAAAAAAACAUAAAAUAAUCUAUCCAAGGGGAAUAUAGUAGUAGCCCAAUGGGAAAAUAAUAGAGCACAUAGGUGACCUGAGCAUUCAUGACAUAUUCCACAUACGAAGUGGCGUUUCAGCUGAAACUUGAAGGAAUGAAGAAACAGUGGUUCUCUUUAUGUCAGGCAGAUGUUCAGAGAAGAGUUAAAGGGAAGAUGGACUGGUGGGAGGGGUGACUAUUGUGUUACCUGGGUGAAGGCAGGGGACCGAGAACAAAUUGCAUCUAUACAGGUGGUUGUGGAUGGGAAAAGCAACAUCAUUGAGGGAGAGACCAGAUUUUUAUUUUAUACAUUUUAAAAUCAGUCUCUUGUAAAUGAAGAGUUACUAAAGAAUUUUGAGAGGAAAUAUGAAUGUAAACAAUAGGAAUUGCUUACUUAGUAGGCAAUUGCCUUUUUAAUUUGAUUUCAAUAUUCCUGGAGACUUCAUUUUAAAGUAAGCCCACAGUGUAUUCAUCAUGUCCUUGGGGAGAACAAAAAAAUUCAUUCAGGAAGAAUGUAGUACAACAAGGAAGCAUAAUAAAACAUACUCCUGACUGCCUGGCCCAGAGCCAUUUCCACUAUUUGGCUUCUUAAGGCAACUUUGGUUUCUUUAUUUAAGCUCUCCAUCCUUCUCUGUGAAGCCUUGAGCUUGCAUGGCCUCAGAGCAUGUUUUUCACAUGCAUUGGAUAAGCAUGAUUGGUUUAAGCCACUGGCAAUUGGUCCUUUUAGGCUGGAGCAUAUGAUACAUUUAGUCAAAGAGAUGUCAAGAGAUGGAUAGUUGCUGGUAGUAGGCAGUUGGGUGUUAUUCUUAUAAAAAGUCUUCUUAAUUUUAAAAGGCAAAAAAAGAAAGCAAAGUCCCUUUUCUAUCUAAUGAAAAAGUGGUAUCUGGAUGUAAAAUUGAAACCAUGGCAGGCAUCUCUCAAUACUGAGAAAAGGUUGACAAGGACAAACCUAUGUUAGGAGACAGGGAACAGAGAUGGACAGGUCUUCUGCGGCACCAUUGAGUCAUCCAUGAAAUUCUGUUUGUAUGCUAAUAAACUUAAGAGUCUAAGCAAGUUACUUCCCUGUUCCUUUUGAUCAAGAGUAUACCCAGUAAUAAAAUUAGAAUAAAUUUAAAGCUUGAGAAGUUUCAAAAUUCACAGUGCACAUCCUUUUUCUUACAUGUUUGAAAUGGAGGACCUGAGAAAAUAAAUGAUUUGUGUGAGGACAUACAAUCAAGUACAAGCAAAAUCAGGGUUCCUAAGUUCCACAAAUAUUCUGCCUACCCAUCUUUUAUAAAUUUUAGUCUUUUAAAGAGAGCCUUAUCUUUUUUGAAUAAAACCAUCCUCUGAAGUUUGUGGCAUGUGCUAAAUAAAUGUUCAGUAAACAUGAUUUUCUGACUGAGAAUAUGAGCCCUUAUUUUCAGAUUUGCCCAACUAGUAGGGAGUUUUGACAUUAAACAUCCAACCACAAAGAAAGAGGAAAUACGUGAGACUUAAAGCCCAGUGAGGUAUCCCUCCAUAGAUGUACAGGUUUGACUACAUGCUUUGCUCUGUGUCACAUACAUAUGUCCCAUACCAUUAUCACAUGCCAUGUCCAUGAUCUAUUAACUAUGAUUUCCUGUAAAAUUGUUGUUCACUUCUCCUUUUCCCAUAUGGGUAGCUAUAUGACACAUAUGCUAUAUAUCUCAUAGAGAACUUCAUAGGUGAUGACCUUUUAGUAGCCAGAGGAUGACAUUAGAUCCUGUAAGCUCUCCAGAACUACAAAUUCUCUACAGGACUGGUGAAUUAACUGUUCCCAACACUUGCUCAAUGCCUACAUCAUACAGAUGCCCAGUGCAUUUUGCUGAACUAAAGAACAGAUGGACAGUAGAAAAUGGAUAUCUGUGACAGAGAUUGGUCAAAAAAAGAGAGAAAAAGGCCAAGAUAUUAGUUAAAGUUAAUUAAGAAAAAGACCAAUUUUCUAAUUUUAUCAGGUAAUGGACAUGACGCCAAAUUUGAAGUAAUUUUUUUCUUUAAUAUUUACUCUGGCUCUGUAUUCAUCUUCAUAAAACAAAAUUAAUAAUAAUAAUAAUGCUAAACCAUUUAUACCUAUCUAUGUUAACUCUAGUGAUGAGAGUUAAUGUCCUAGUGACGUUCAAAAUAUAUUAACAUAAUGAAAUGGAAACAUUAAUUAAAUUUCUACAAGUCAGAAGGGAGAAAAAGAUAGUUGAAGGAAGAAACUGGAUUACUAAAAAAAAAAAGAAAUACAUUUCAGUUUCAAAUUCCAAAAAGGCAUUCACCAAAGAUUGGUAUCAAGUGAUAACAGUGGCAGUUUAUUAAUAAUCUGUCAUGUAAAGCUGACAUAGUAGAAGCCAAAUUCUGCUCAGCUUUACAAUGAAAUCCCAUCUAUUUUGUUGCUACCAGAAUUAAAUAUAUACUGUUGAAAGGCUUUAGUAAGCUUAAAUAUGCUCUAAAAACUCUUUUAGAAAUACAUUUUAUUGCUUUUCCUAACACCUCACUAUCAAUAAGUCAAAUCAACAAAAGUCUAAUCUUGAUUCUUCUAGAUAUCCAUGGUAUAUCAAACAGGGAGUAAGAUAACAUACGUAUUUUUUACAAGUUGAUAAGUUUGCUUUUAGACAAAUGGAAAGGCCUUAGCAACUAAAUUACUUGUUUCUGACAUGUUAGGAACAGAGGGAAAGCUAGAUAUAGUGUGGAAAUAAUAUAAAGUAAGUAUUAAAAGUUAAGCCUAGGGGAUUCACAGGGGGAUAAUUUAUUUAAUCAGAAUUAUGUGUGAGCUAGCCAGAUAGGGACAAUCUAUCCAAAGGUGUGAAGAGCUGAUAAUCCAUAUGUAUCCUGAGCAAAAGAUUUAGGUGAGGCAUGUUAUAGCAAGCAAACAUCAUUGAAACAGUAUUUCAGAAAUACCAAUUAAAAGUGACCAUCACAAGUAGAAUUUGGGCUAGGGAUGUAUAGCUCAGUGGUAGAGUCUUACCUAGAAUGCAUGAGGCUCUGGGUUGGAUCCCCAGUAAUGUUAAAAAUAUAACACAAAGAAAGAGUAAGAAUGAAGUGAUGUUUCUCCUCUCUAUAUAUUGGAAAACUUGUAUUAUGUCAUUUACAAUCACUUAAUAUAUACAGACCUGUGCUAACCUCUGCUUCCAAAAGCAUGCUGACCCUCUGAAAGUAGGAUUGUAUAAGAUAAAAGGUUUAUUCAACAGCUGGUAAAAAGAUUUAAAAGAGUUUUCUGUAGAAGCAAAGAACUGAGUGAAAUCCAGGGAUUUUGAUUACUUGUACAGUAAUUAGCAAAAUGUGUAACACAUUGUGCUAUGAAUGUGUUUGGUUAGAGUGCUAGUUUUCACUCAUUGAAUAGUUAAAAGUAUACAGACAAUUUAAUCCCAGGCCAUAAUAUCAAAUUCAUUUUUUCUUAUUCUAUGAGUAAUGUCUUAAAUCAAACUCAGAAUUUUAAAAAUAAAUUUCAUAGUUAAUAUCUUAAAGCUCUGGAAAAAUAUCACAGUAGAAUCCUUUUCAUCUAAAAUGAUAGUCACCAGGUAGCAAAAUUUCAAUACCUACUAGCAAGCAAGAGUGCAUAAGAAGAGGGAGGGGAAAAAAUGGAAUCCAGGAGGUAAGCACGUUAUACAAGAUAAAAAUUUGCUACAAAUAUUAGAGAUGGAAGAGUGUGUGUGUUUGUGUGUGUUGUAUGUGUGUUUUGCUCAUUCCCUAGUAGAACAUUAUGUUAAAAAAUAUUUAAGAAUUCAUUAUCUUUCUAAUAAGAAUUUUUAGAAAUUCAGAAGAUUAAAAGAAAAUUAGUCACAGUAAGCCUCAGUUUUCCUACAUCUCAAUGCAGAUAUUAGGAACGAACAUUUCUAAAGUUUCAUAGUUUAAGGAUAGAAAAUUUUAAAUGAAUUUCAAUAAACCUAAUUUGACUUAUAAUAACUGGUUAAGUUGUUAAACUUCACUCAUCAUGUUAAGUUUAGCCAAAAUAAGAAUGGCUUUGCUAUGUGGAUGUACCCCAACUUAGAAUGGUUUGACACAUGAUCUUUUGACUUUAUGAUAUUGCAAAAGUGAUGCACAUUCAGGAAUUUUCACUUUUUGGGUACCAGGGUUUGAACACAGGGGUACUCCACCAUUGAGCCACAUUCCCAGCUUUUUUUUUUUUUUUUUUUUGCAUUUUAUUUAGGGCCAGGGUCUCACUGAAUUGCUUAGUGCCUUACUGUUGCCAAGGUUGGCUUUGAAUUCAUGAUUCACCUGCCUCAGCCUCCCAAGCUGCUGGGAUUACAGGUGUGAGCCACCCUGCCCAGCUGGAAUUUCAACUUUCAUCUUUUCCCUAACACACACAGUUAUAUUCUCUUGAUACUGGCACAGCAUCAUGCCACGAAGGUGUGGUGGUGGCUGGAUUUGGUGCAGUAAAACCAUUUUCAACUUGUGAUAUUUUCAAUUUAUGGUGGGUUUGUUGGAACAAUACCCCAUCUUAAGUCCAAGAACAUCUGUAAACUGCUGCAAAGGUCAAGAAGAGUGCAUUCCUAAAGUGGAUUUACAGGUAACAUGCUCUCAUGAAAUGUCAAAGAGAAAGUAUACAAUUUUGGAUUUAGGAAAGCCUUCUGGGAGCAAAACUAACAUAAUGAAGACUGUAAACUAAUCUCUGGCCAUUAGUUUCCAGGUGCAAACAAGAUUUGUUUUCUGUGUGUGUACAUCAGGUGUGCUUCUUUUUCUUUCUUAGACCCUUAACUAUGACUGGCUCUUUGCUAUCAGGGAGGUAAUUAAAGCAAAAACCUUUUAGGCUUCUUCUGAGUUGUUGCUAAAAUUAUCCUUUCCUUUCUGUCUCAUUCAUCCCACCAAUCGAUCCUGGUAUAAGUGAACAUAUCAUGGGCUUGGGGGUCUAACAUGUUGGUAAUGCAUAGAGACACCUCAUUGUCUUUGAGUUUUAGUCUAUGGUCAGGGGGAAAUGAUAUCUCUCACAGGAAGUUUGUGAAGACUAAGUUGUGAUUACCUUUAGCUAAGUAUUUCAAAUACUAGAAUUCAUCACAUUUUCUGUUAUUAUUACCCCUUCUACAUAUCACAUUUUCCCCUCAUUUUCUACCAGAGAAUUUUCUUAUUAUAUAAAAAUAUGCUCUGUUCUACAUUCCUUUCAAAAAUAGUAUACCAUAAGGCAUUCUAACAAUGUAUAUGGAAUCACCUUGGAAUGGAUUAAAAAGUCAGUUCCUGUGCCUCACUAUAGAUCUGGGGAACCAGACACUCUGGAUGGCAGAAGUAGCUCAAGAUCUGUUCUAUGCAUCCUCCUCUGGAGAAGGCAUUGUGCACACAUUUGCAGACCACUUCUCUAAACCAUUAUGCUUACACAAUGUUUUUAACAGUCCCCCAUUCUGUGUUUCACUGUCUCUUCUCCAAGAAAAUCUUAAUCAUAACUGGCAGCCUGCCUUCUAAAUUAGACGAAAGGAAGGCUCCAAGUGGGAAAUGGAAUUAAUUUCACUUAGCAACUUAGCCUGGAUCAGCAGGAUGAGGCUGGAGUGCAUUUUACAAUAUAUCACACUAGGAGUCCACGGUUAACUGAUUUUUGACCCAUAUUUUGUAUUUUUUUUUAUAUUCCAUGUUGCUAAGUGGUAGGAAAUAUCUUGAUUUUUCAGCUUUUCACUUAAAUCCUAACUAUAGGAGAAAAAAAUAAGUAUUUUUAUAAAGUACCAAAGUUAUAAAGAAAGACGUCUGUAGGUUAAGACAACAAAUUUGUUACUACUUUUUAAAAGGAAGAACAUUAGAAAUGACAAAGCAACAAUAUGUUGAAAUAAUUUUUUUAAUAUUUUUGGAUUUGCAAAAGAGCUUCCUAGAUAUUUUUUCUUAUUUUUGCUUUUAUAAAUAAAAAGUAAAACUAUACAGCAGCAGAAUUACUAUAGCACAUAUUUUAUGUAAAAGUGUCUCAUGUCAAAUACUAGUUCAAUUAAAGGGAAUGAAAUCACAUAUAUAAUACUGUGUCCAGUCACAUAAAGAUAACUUUUUAAUACUAUUAUACUAGAAUCUUGGCUGGGUUUUCAGUUAUAUAAUUAUUCUCUCUAGGAAAUACACAGAAUUUGAAUGAAUGAGUGGAAAAAUACUUUGCUGAGCAGCUUUGUAAAAUCACUUUUGUUUCAGUUAAAUUCAUUGAGGCCAACUGGAUAAAAUGUUAUUACCUUUAAUUUUCCAGUUUCCCAUUCUCAGAACACAGGUUAAUUUUGAUUUUUAUUUUGAUAAGUAGAUUAAAAACACAGUCCUUAAAAUAGAACAAUUAUUAUUUUUUUCUUUACAGUGUAGUUUCAGCCUGCAACAAUUAUUACACUAAAUAGAUCAUUCCUGAAUUAAAGAGGAAGGUCAGAAGCAGGCUAUAAAAGGAGCCUUGAUACUCUUGUUAUUAUUCUGGUGUUGUGUCUGCCAAAAUGCACUGGUCAAUAUUAAUGAUGUGACUUUUUCUUGGAAAUGCUGUCCAUCAAGCUCAUAUGGCUAAACCUGCUUCUUUCUGAAACCAGCGAGGCAGUCACUGCCUAUCUUUCACACUAUAUCCCUGCAGUAUGAUUAGAUGAUUUUGUUCCAUAUGCAAUUUCUCCAUUGAACUCUUUUAAGUCAAGUUCCUUUUAAAAUAUGGAAUAUUGUAUGUGGCUAAAAAACGUUUUCAUACUUCUUUCUGAUCUAAGUAUACUGUUUCAAGUCCAAAUCAGAAGACUUGUCUGGUAAGAAAUAUGAAAAUAAGAACAUCCAAGGAUCUAGAAAUGAAUUCAAGUGUCUUUACAUUAUUUCAAUUAUUUCCUUCAUUUGAUACAGAAACAUGUAGACAAUAUUUUAAGAAUUCUUUGACUUUGUAAAUAGCAUUUGAUGGAUCAUAUACAUUUUUGUUAUUAUCUAAGAGAGAGGAUACCAUCGUAGAUAAUCUUUUUUUUAUUUGCACAAGCACUUUAUUUAUUUAUUUAUUUUUAGAGAUUUCAAAACUUUGAUUCAUCCUAUUUUUGAGAGUUUACAGCUAUAAGACACAUUGAUGAGAAAAAUAGGUACUUACAUUCCCAGUUCACAUUAAUGGACUUUAAAAAAUCUAUCUAUCUAUCUAUUUAUUUAUUUAUUUUUAGUUUUAUUGAUUUUGUUUUUUUUUAAUACACAACAGUGGAAUGCAUUACAGUUCUUAUUACACAUAUAGAGUACAAUUUUUCAUCUUUGUAUAUAGAGUAUGUUCACGCCAAUUCAUACCUUUAUACAUGUACUUAAAAAAACAUUGUAAUCUUUAUAAUACAGUUACAAAGUUAAACACAUUUCACAUAUAUUCAUAUAGUCAAUAUAUAACUUUAUCAAAAUGCUCAUUUAAAAAUAAAUCUCACCAGGUGUGGUGGCACCUGCCUGUAUUCCUAGCUGCUCUGGAGCCUGAGGCAGGAGGAUCAUAAAUUCAAAGUCAGCCUCAACAACUCAGUGAGAUCCUGUUUCUAAGUAAAAUAUUAAAAGGGCUGAGGAUGUGACUGAGUGGUUAAGCAUCCCUGGGCUCAAUCCCCAGUACCAAUAAAUAAAUAAAUAAAUCUCAAUAUGUUGAAAUUGCUAAGAUUUCAAUGACUUUCUCCUGGUUGAAUCCACUGGUCUUUUCCACUAUUAUUCCAUCAUUAUCACCAUUGUUAUGUUUGAGGCACUACUUGCUAUUACUAUUCUGCUGAUUAACAUGACUAUUAGUGCUAUUGCUUAAUAUAUGUAGCAUUUACUGUGUCAGGCAUUGUACUAAAUAAGUCCCUUACCAUAUUAAAACAUAGAUAAUUAUUUAGGACCUGCUGCAGUCCUACCCCUAAGAAAUGAUUAACAAAAGACGAAGAGUGGGACUGUCUCAGCCAUGUUCCCCAAGGAGGAAAUGGCUGAAUGGGGAUUUAAAUAUAAGCACUCAAGAUGAGAAGGUGCCUUUGCCCUUUUGUAACAAUUCUCCUAUAAAUUGCCAUCAAAGUUUUCUCCCAUAAUCUUUUCUUUUUUUUAGUACCAGGGAUUGAACCCAGGUACAAUCACUGAGUCAUAUCCACAGACCACUUUAUUUAUUUUAUUUUGAGACAGGGUCUAGCUAAGUUGCUCAGUGAUUCUCUAAUUGCUGAGGCUGGUUUUGAACAUGCAAUCCUCCUGCCUCAACCUCCAGAGCCUCUGGGAUUACAGGCAUACACCACAGCACUUGACUCUACCACUGUCUUUUAAAGAGAAAUGAAUUAUAUUCAUGGCUAACUCUCUUUGGGGAAAAACAGAUGCUAGGUUUUUCCAUCCACAGGAUAAAAGAAAGUUUUGUUUUUCUUUUAUGGUGUUAGUGGCAUACUAUUAGAAGGUUCAGACAUUUCAGCAUUCAAUCAAAAGUCUCUUCUUUUGCUUUUAAGUAAAUAAAUCAUCAUAAAAUUUUAGAACUAAAGAAAAGUCUUGACAAUUGUUUCACCAUCACAUAUAUAUAGUAAAACUUAGGUUUGCUCCCAGAUAAUCUAUUCCCUUAUCUCUCUUUGCUACUAGCAAACUUCAUAUUUCUAUAAGACUUAGCUCAAAUGUUACAUCUAUGCCAUAGGCAUUUCUAAUUAGCCUCUCCCAUAACACCUGACCCAUGCCCAUGUCAUAGGAUCUGUCCUUUGCUACACUUGUCCUGGGUAUGCAACCUUGAGCAAUUUUCUUCUCCAAGUUUUGGUUUUUACUAAGAAAAACAGGCCCUUCCUCACAAGGCAUUGUGAGGAUUAAAAGAGAAAAUCAUGGUAAGGUUGACUUCUAGUCUUUGUAAUCACAUGUCUUCACUUGUCCCACCCAGAGUGUUGGAGUGUGAGCUCUUCGCCUGUAGCCCAGUGCCUGCACCAUGUCAGGCACAGUUCACUCCCAGUGAGUCUCUACUGAAUGAAGACGUUAGGGAAUUAAUAUUCUCACCGAGCAGUUCCUGGGUCUUUCAGAACAGGUAUGAUAUCUUUGAAUUUCUUAUAUGUCCACUAUCUACCAAAAUUAUUUCCGAAAGUUUAAAAUAAAAUAUUGAACUAGUCAGUGCUUUGAUUAUGUGACUUUAGCAAAGAUAGUGGGUACCUUUAUUUUACUUUAGAAAUUUGAUACCAAGUUUAAAAAGUACAUCCUUCUUUGAUUUCUUAAAAGACAAUAAAGUCCCUCUCAAAUAUGUGAAAUUUUACCCUUAAUUUCUAUUGAGUCUUUUCCUGAUGCAAUGGUUUGACCUUAAAAAUUUGCAGUCAUAUCUCUAUUUCAUGCAUGGGCAAAUGCUCUAGGAAUCAUAUGGAAUACAGUUCUGCUUGGUAAGCCUUUGACAUAACAUAUUACUCAUCACACUUGAAAUUUACAUUAGAGAAUAAUUGCCUUCUUUAUUUAAUUAUGCUUCUAUAGAACUAUGAAAAUUCAUAAAUAAAAUUAAAAUUUAUGAAUACUUUGAAGACUCUUACUUCAAUGAUUCAAUUAAUAAAUGUGUUUAAAUAUAUAAAUAAAUGUGUAUAGGUUAUUUCUGGAAAAAUAUAUUUGUGGAAUUUUUUAAAAAUCAAUAUUCACAAUGAUAAACAUCUUACUGUGCUAUUUUAAGGAGACUCACUAUAAACUGAUUCAUAGUAAAGGCAUCUCUAAUAACACAUUUAUAUCCUGGUAGACAUAUAGAUUCUGUAAACACAGAAAAAUAACUUUAUUAAUAAGGGGCAUGUUAAAAUCUAUUACAUAUGUAUAGUUCAAACAAAACUCAAAAUAUGUCUGUUUGAAUGUAGGUGUCUGUUGAUUAUAAACAUGAUCACUUAUAAUAAGAGAGAAGUAUACUUUAGUACUUAACACUUUGUUUCACAGACUUAUUAAAAUAAGUGACUACUCUUGACCACUGUUUUUCAUACAAUAUUUUCAGGGAUUGGGUCUACGUUGGGUACAUUAACUUCACAGAUAUUUAUAGCUGGGACAAAAAUUUCAAUUAAAAAACUCACAUUUAAAUAAGAAAAUUAGCGUUGUCCCCAAAUGAUAGACAUCCAGACAGCUUACCAUUUUCCAGCGUUUCAAAAAUACUGUCAACUGGAGUUUUCAAAGUGAAGGCAGAUAGUGGUAGGAUAGAUCCUAAAUAUGCCCUUUCAAAUUUAGAGCACCUGUAAUUUCUGUCAUUCUCUCUAUUUCAUUAACAUAAACAUAUACUCUGUUUUUAUUCCAUAUAAAUAUUCAAAAUAAAACUCAAAAUUCAGUAAUUAUUAAAUUUGUUCAAAGUUGCCAUUUAUUUGGGGAAGAAUGACAAAUUCUUGUCUACUUCUUUAGCCUUUUCCUUACCAAUCAUAUUAUUCCCAUUCUUUUUAAAGUGGCACACACAUGGCAAAACAGUGCUAGGGAUCCAGCAGAAUUUCUAUGCCAAGUUCUCAUUGAUGCCAUUAUACUGUCUUAAAAUAAUUUACAUGUGGGCUAAUAUAUGCAUGAGCUUACAUUAAGCUUAUAGGAGCUUUCACAAUCCAACUCUAAAAUAUAUUUCUUUCAAUAAAAGCACAUUCACUCCUUUGAAUAGAAAAUACAUAUUACCUCUUUAAAUAGCAAAAUGAAUGAAAAGACUUUCUCUUUUAAAUUCAAUUCAAGAUAAAGAGGGGUUCAUAAUGACAAUAUUUCUCCUUGUAAUUUACCAGAUGGGAAUAAAAGGCAAUAAUUGAAACAAAUACAUAUUCUGGAGUGUUUUACAUUAAGGAUAAUAUACAUGCAUUUUUGAAAUAAUUUCAUAUCAAAACAAACUCACAGAAUAUAUGGUCAUAAAAUUUUAACAAUAGAUUUCAAAGAAGUAUAAUCACCCUAUUUAUUUGAAUCCGAGAUUUAAUAUUUAAUCUGCAUAAAACUCAUAGAUAAAAGCUCAAAUAUAGAUUAGUUUCUAUUUCACUGGUUUUAUCAUACUAUAAUUCUUUUGCAACUGUCAUAUAUUAUGGUUAUCAUGGGUAUAGUGAACUUCUUAAAUGAGAAGCCAAUUAAUAGUCAAGUGUUUGGUUAUCAAUUUAUCAUGGCUAAAUACCAUAUGUUGAUCUAGAGAUUAUUGUUAGGGAUAUGCUGAACCAAAAUUCAGAUCUGCCCUAUGUGAUGGUCCUACAAUUCCCUCUUCUUUUAGAAGGACACAUUAAGCUUAUUCUAUUAUGUAAGCAUAAAAUAUCUUAUAUUGCUUAGGAAAAGAAUGGUUUGUAUAGCAUAGAAAAAAUUCUAAGGUCAUUUUUCAGGUGAAUUUUGUUAAAAAAUGAUCAGAAUAUGAUACUAUGGCAUAUCUAUGCUAAUAAAUUUAAUAAAAGAGAGAAAGAAAUGCACACUCCAAAUGAAACCUCAUGGCAAUCAGUUGUCCUACCAUAGACAAUCAGGUAUGAGCAACAGCAAAUUUUACUUUACUGAAACUUCUUGGAAAGUUGAUAAAAAGAGCAAAAAUUCUGUUUUCAUUUCUCCUCUAUCAGAUUUCCUAAGUUGAGAGGUGCCGUUUUCUUGAGGAGAUAAUUGCAGUGACAGAGUUUGGGGAGUUCUUCCAAUUUCCACUUAAUGCAGUGAAUUCCCAAUCCCUCACUGUUUCUUCUUUUGCUUAUAAUUGGUCAUGGGAAGAUCAUUUAGAGUUUGAAAUUAUGUACACAUUGAAUAAUCUUUUCCAACUUUCCCACUUAUUUGUCCAAUGUACUCCACAGUUUUUGCUACCCUUUGCUUUCAGUGACUGCCCAGAAAUCACUAUAGACUCAUUCCCAAAUCCCCAGAAAGGUUGAAAUCAAACAUAUAUUUAAUACCAGCAUUUUCCACAGCAUCCUGGGGUCCCACUAGAUUCCGCAUAUCUUUGUGACUUCAGUGCAUAUAUAUUUCUACAAAUAUCAGACCAGGACCAUUAUUUCCAGCACAGUGCUUUGCCAGGUAAUUUCGUGUAAGGAUGAAUUAUUAUUUCUAAAUCUUAAUCUGGUGUUCAUCAGAAGAACUAAAGAUCAUACUCUGACUAGAAAGAGGCAAGAGUGUUCUUUUUCUUUUUCUUUUCUUUUUUUGGUUGUUGUUUUAAAUCCCAGAUGGGAUUAUUCUGACUAUAACCUGCUUUGGAACCCCUUCUUGCCCAAUGCAGUUAUCAAUGACAGUGCUCUGCAAUGACAAUGUUCAAGCCUAGAAGUCAUGUCUGUUGUCUCUUUUCUCUCACCCUCUAUAUGCAAUCAGUUAUCAAGUCAUUUGGACUCUGCUUCUAAAAUAGAUAGAAAAUCCAUCUCAGUGUCUGCAUUCUGGAUCAGGACAACAUUUCUCUUUCUUAGAAGUGGUCAUCUGCCUCCUUCCAAAGAUCUUCCUACUUCUAGUCUGACUCCCCACUAAAUCAUCCUCCACAGACGACUUAUCUUCAAAUACAAAUAACUAUAUUACACACUGUUGUUUAAAAGCAUUCAGUGACUUCCCUUAGUAUUUAUAAUAAAAUCCAAUAUUUUUAUUAUGGUUUGAAUUGCAGGGAAAGAAAAAUAUUUUUUUUCUUUUAUCUUCCUGAGUUCCUGGCUGGUUUGCUUAUAUAUAUAAAAAAAAAAGACAGAUUGUUAUAGCUUGGAUGUGAUGUGGCAUUCUGAAAGUGCAUGUGUGAGACAAUGCAAAAAGGUUUAAAGGAGAGGCUGGGGUUGUGGCUCGGUGGUAGAGAGCCAGCCUAGCAUGUGUGAGGCCCUGGGUUCGAUCCUCAGCACCACAUAAAAAUAAAUAAUAAUAAUAAUAAAACAUACAAUACUUUUGUGUCCAAAUACAGCUAAAAAAUAAAUAUUUUUUAAAAGAAGGUUUAAAGGAGAAAUGAUUGGGUUAUAAGAGUCUUAAACCAAUCAGUGAAUUAAUCCCCUGAUGGGAUAAACUGAGUGGUACCUGAAGGUGGGUAGGGUGUGACUGGAAGAGGUGGAUCCUUGGGGGUGUAUAUUUGUAUGUGGUGAGUGGAGUCUCUGUCUCCUGCCUGAUCAUCAUGUGAGCUGUUUCCCUCUGCUACACUCCUCCACCAUGAUGCUCAGCCUCACCUUGAGCCCUAAGGAAUGAAGUCAGCUGCUUAUGGACUGAGACUUCUGAAACUAUGAGCCCCCAAAUAAACUUUUUCCUUCUUUACAAUUGUUCUGGUUGGAUCUUCUAGUCACAGCAGUGAAAAAUCUGAUUAAAACACAUAUCAGCAAAAGAAAACCAUACAAAUUUAUUUAAUAUAAGUUUAACAUGCUAUGGGAACCUAAAGAAAUGAAGACUUAAAUUUAAGUGAUUAAACCUGAGUGUUUUAUGUGAGAUGAAAUAGAGAGAGAUAUAAAAGGACCUGGUCUGAGGUAGGUGUGGUAAACUUGGGGAAUUUUAGCACAGCACCUUCUUUCAGUCCUCUCUGUGUCCUUUCAUAUUCAGAGACAAAGAUGAUGAAACAUCCCCCAUGAGGGUUUUAUGACCUGCUUCAGGCAAAGGUCACAUACUGUCUCUGAAACUCUUCAGCUCAUGGAUUCAACAUGCCAAGCUCCCAUAUUUGGUAUCGCAUGUCCUGAUGCCCAUCAAAGCCUGCCUCAUCCCUUGUCACUCUCUCCUCUGCACAUAGUUCCUCAGCUACUUUAACAGUCUUUCACUUCCUUGAAGCUAUGAGUUACGCUUUUCUCAGAGCCUGGAAAACUUCUUUACAUCCCACCUCUCCCCAUUCCCUCAUGUGGCCAACUCUCCCUUUUAAAGUAAGAAAUUAAAUAUCAAAUCCUCAGAAAGGACUUUUCUUCAGUAAGUAUUCUCCUGUCCAAAUUAUCCUAUAUUUUAGAAUGCUUUACUUCAUAACUUUGUCAAAAUUGAGAUCUAUUUUUUUUGUAUGCAUUUGCUUAAUAAUUUUAAAUUUUUCCAUUAGUGUGUAGAAUCAAUUAGAAUCAAUAAAGUAAAACCUUAUCUGUUCCACCAUGGUAGUGUAAAUCAGGCAUCUUCUCAACACAUAGUAAAUGCUUUCUAAGAAAUAUUUGUUACCAUGGGUGCAGGGUUGGAAAAAGACUGUGUCUGAGAAAAAAAGUAUUUAACUUAGCAAAAUAAAUACAACAUCUUUUCUUUAGUUUAUAUACAAUUUUACAGCUAGCAAAAUAUAGAAACCACCUGCUACUGCCAGAUAUUGUGGCAAGUGCUGGAAGAUAUUUCUACUUUUCAGAAAACAAAAAGCAAAAUAAAAAAAAAAACACCUGACUUAAACAAAUCAAUCAGAUCAAUGUAACUGAUAUAUUAUUGAAUAGGAAUUUUUAAAAAACAAUGGAAAUUUUUGCAUUCAACAACUUCAUUUAUAUUAACAAACUUCAAUUUAUAUUAAUAGAAACUUUAUUUAUACUAACAAAAACUUUCUGUUUUUUUGGUCCCAUAUUAUACUUUCCUUUUUUUUUUUUUUUUUUUUUUUUUUUUUUUGUGCCUUUCAAUGGAUGCUCAUGCUUUCAGAUUAGAACUUUAUCAUGUAAGUCAGUGUUUUAGUUCUGGGUCCAAAUUAUGCAUUUCUAUUAUUUUCCUUCAUGUAGGGUAUUAGUUGCAUAUUUGACAUUUAUUUGUCCCAAUGCUCUGUGAUCACUGUGAAAAUGAGCUGAAGUAUAUAUAAUCGGCACAUGUAACCAACAUAUGCAGUCUGUGUCUCUGAACUGGAUUUUUCUCCUUAACUAUCAUGUACCUUCAGAAACACAAAAAAUAUAUACUGAAAUUUUAGUUUUGCAAACUAUGAUGUACUUCACAAAUGCAUAUUUAGCUAUUUGGAAUGAAUAACAGAGGAUCAGAAUGAUUAUGCUACUNNNNNNNNNNNNNNNNNNNNNNNNNNNNNNNNNNNNNNNNNNNNNNNNNNNNNNNNNNNNUGACAUUUAUUUGUCCCAAUGCUCUGUGAUCACUGUGAAAAUGAGCUGAAGUAUAUAUAAUCGGCACAUGUAACCAACAUAUGCAGUCUGUGUCUCUGAACUGGAUUUUUCUCCUUAACUAUCAUGUACCUUCAGAAACACAAAAAAUAUAUACUGAAAUUUUAGUUUUGCAAACUAUGAUGUACUUCACAAAUGCAUAUUUAGCUAUUUGGAAUGAAUAACAGAGGAUCAGAAUGAUUAUGCUACUUAAAGUCUUAGAGUCAAUCUUCAAGACACAUUUCUGUAUUUCUCCUGUUUUCCUUUGUUGCAGAGAUUCCUAACUCAGCAAAAAUGAAAACCACCUAAUUAACUGUUAAUUAGUGCACUCUGUAUUUUAUCAUAAUUGGCUUCCUAAAAUGAAAAUAAACAAACACAUGCUCUUCCAAUAUCCAAACCUAUGGCAUAAAAUGAAAUACCUAUUUCUUCAGUCUUAAGAAUUUUAAUAUAUAAAUUCCAAAAUUUCCUUAUCAGAUAUUUUUGAUAUUAUGAAGAUUUGAUCCAUAAUAAUUAUUAAAAAUAACAUGUCAUCCAAACUGCUAUAGCACUCCCUCAUUUUUAGUUAUGGGUUUCUCUGAGGUCAUGACAUGGCUUGGAUUAUAAUAGGACGCAAUGAUGAAAAAGAUACAGUCUAAAUGUGAUAUGUGCCUAUUGAAAUGAUUGCUUUCAUUUAAAAAUAGUUAUUUAAUUCCAUUAAGUUUCAUCAUAUCUUUCAAAAUUUUUAAUUAUUAUGGAUAAAAAUGAACGUAUUUAAAUCAAAAUUAUUAUUACUUUAAAAAGAAAAUCAUGCAAUUUCAAAUACCAUGCAUAAUAGGACAAUAUAGUAUGUAGUAAACAUUUGCAUAAUUGACUCAGAAUUUUAAUAAAGAAUAUUGAUUUUUAUACCAUCCUUCCUAUAAGGCAUAAAACAGAUAUGUGAAGCACUGUUGUAUUUUUUCAUGGAUAAUUAAAUAUAAUUAUAUUUAAUAAAUAGAGUAAUCACUGCAUAUAUAUUAAUAUUUUACUAUGAAAGAUGUAAAUAUAAAGAUAUUUAUAUAAAUAUGUAUUUUAAUAUAGCUAUUAAGAUAAGAAAUUUUCUGUAUCUUAGGUUAAUGCAUGUAUUAUGCAUUGUCCACUAUAAGUUUUACACACUGAAAUUAGUUAUGUGGACACAAUUUUGAAAUAAAAAUUCACUACUUAUUGAUUUAACUUUAACCUUGAAUGGAUUGUGAUAAUUUAUUUGCAUUGUGUGGUGUUAAGCAUACCAAAAAUUUCAAUUAAAAUAUUCCACAGGAUCAUGAAAAAACUCAGCAUAUUAAGGUAACCUUUAGGUUUUCAAAUACAAUUAUGGUUAAAAUUUAUUUGUUGUUUUGAAAAUAUUGUGCUUAAUAAAUUGCCUAAACAUAUACAAGCCAUGUCAAAUGCGGCAUUUACUACAUAAUAUUAUUGUAUGUACUUGUCGAAGGUUUUAUUUGCAUUGUGAGUAUGUAUGUGCAUUCAUUUCCUACAACCCAAUGUUGACAGUCCAGUAGAGAAGAGCAAAACUUAGCACACUUUCAAAAAGACAGGACAAUAAGAAUGAAAACAAGUUUUAAUAAUAUUAGUCUUCAGAUGUUAAAAUACCACUAUACACAUAUCAAAAUCUAAAAUUACAAGGGCAAAAAAUGUCAAAUGUUACUGACUAUGAAGCAAAUGAACUCUCAUAAUUUGCUUUCAGAAACUGGGAGCUACUUUGGGAAGUGUCAGUAUUUGUUAAAGCAGAAUAAAUGCAUUUUCUAUUCACGCAGUCAAGUGCAUGUAAGUGUUCCUAAAAGAUAUGCUCCUGAUUAUCCAUAUCAUCACUAUUCUUAAGACUCAAAGUCUGAAAGAUACUCAAAUGCUGAUCAAUGGUAGAAAGGUUCAAUAAUUUGGUAUAUUCUCACAGGUGAAUAUUAUACAACAGUGAAAAUGAGUGUUUUACCACUGCACACAAAAAUCUUACAAACAAAAUGUUGAAAAAUGGGAAGCAAUAUCUGCUAUGACUUCAUUUAUAGAAUGUAAAAAUGGAGGUAAAUUAUGCCUCUAGAGGUUAAGAUGUUGUUUAUAUUCUGGGAGUAUAUUGAGACCAGUCAAGGGCAUAACAGAGACUUUAAAAAAAAUAAGUUUAUAUGAGUACUGGUUAUAUGAAUGUGUUCAUUUUCUGACAUUUGCUGAGACCAUAUACCUAUGAUACUAGUAAUCUUCUGUAAACAUAUGUGUUUACAUAAGAAAAUUAAAUGCAGUAAUGAUGAGGGUAAUUUUUUUAAAAAGUUGCAUUCUAUAAGUUGAAAUAAAUUUUUAAGAAAGUUCAUUUAGGACAGGAAAUCCACAGAAAAAAUACAAAUGGUCAACAAAUAUGAAAAAAAUGUUCAUCAUCUCUAGCAAUUAGAGAAAAGCAAAUCAAAACUACUCUGAGAUUACAUCUCACUCCAGUCAGAGUGGCAAUUAACAAAAUUACAAGUAACAAAUGUUGGCAAGGAUGUGGGAGAAAAAAGUAAAUAUACAUUGCGGAUAGGACUGCAAAUUGGUGCAAACACUCUGGGAAGCAGGAUGAAGAUUACUCAGAAAACUUGGAAUGGAACCACCAUUUGAACUAGUUAUCCCACUCCUUGUGUUAUACACAAAGGAUUUAAAAUCAACAUACUACAGUGAUGCAGCCACAUCAAUGUUUAUAGCAGCCCAAUUUACAAUAGCAAAACUAUGGAACCAACUAGGUGCUCUUGAAAAGAUGAAUGGAUAAAGAAAAUGUAUGUGUGUGUGUGUGUGUGUGUGUGUGUGUGUAUAUAUAUAUAUAUAUAUAUAUAUAUAUCACAGAAUAUUACUCAGCCAUAAAAAAGAAGUAAAUUAUGGCAUUUGUUGGUAAAUGGAUACAACUGGAGAUUAUCAUGCUAAGUGAAAUAAGCCAGUACCAAAAAAAAACAAAAGCCAAAUGUUAUUUCUGAUAUGUGGAUGCUAACACAUAAUGGUUGGGGGUGGACGUGGGGAGAGAAUAGCAGUUCACUGGAUUAGACAAAGGGGAAUAAAAAGGAAAGGGAGGGGAACUGGGAAUAGAAAAGACAGUAGAAUGAAUUGGAUAUAACUUUCCUAUACUCAUAUAUAAAUACAUGAUCAGUGAAACUCCACAUUAGAAUGGGAUCCUAAUUAUAAUGUUAUACUGCAUGUAUGUGUAAUAUGUCAAAAUAACCUCUACUGUUAAGUAUAUCUAAAAAGAAUAAAUAAAAAAGAAAGUUUAUAAGGUAUGUUUGUAAAAUAUAAUUCACAAUUAAAAAUAUACUUUUUCAGGGUAAGAUUAUUACUCUAUUCAUAUACAAAUAAUUCAUAAAAGUUUCCUCAGUUAUCAGCAAAAUCCUCCCAGUAUGAUAAAAGAAUAUCCACUUGCUUCCAUAUAACACUUGUUUAUUAUGCUAUGUUAAAUGUUUCAGAAAUAUGUAACCAAAAAGUACACCUUACAGUUCCCAGAGGAAGCUGUUGGCUACAGUGAUUUAAAACAUCUUAAAGAUGCAGUUCAAUAAAGCCACAUGUCCAAAAUAAAUACUUUUGGUCUCUUGCAUUUUAGUUUCCAAGGAUACAACAUUUCCCCAAAUAUAAAAUGUAUGACAUAAAUUUCCAUAUCACCUAGACUUUAUGUAUUCAUAACAAGAUAAACCUUUAUCAUGUUUAUCAUUAAGGAACAGAUAUAUUCUGAAAGUUUUGAUAAAAAUUAACUUCAUCAGUUUUACAACACAAAGAAGCUUAUAUUUAUAUAUAUUCUGUAGUAAUCAAUUAUUACUAUAAUACACAUGUUCAUCAAAUGCUAUUGAAUGAAUUCAACCACAGAAAUUAACAAAUGAAUGAGUAAAAAAAAUCCUUAGAAAUCACUUGCUAUUUCUUAUUUUAUUUCCAUACUUAUACUUUCCUUUCAACUCCCUAAAGCUCAAACAUCAGACCUUCAUAGAGAAACCAAAUUCUGAUAAAUCUUGACAGGUUAUAAAAUACGUUUUACUUAAAUAAUUCAUCGUAUGUAUUUACUGGCAUUACAUAGAAUGUACCAUGAACAGCUUAAUACACAAAUUGUCACUCAUGCCCAGAGGACUUUUUUCAGUUGUAUAAAACUUCAUCAUUCAAUAUCUUGCCUUCAAAUUUAUUUGAGUUCCAUCAAAGACUAUAUCAAAUAACUAUUACUAUUAUACAACUAAGAACAUUUUGAUAGAAAAAGAUUGCAUAGUUUCCCCAACAUUUACGGUAACACAUCAAGUGAAUUAUUCCAACUUCCUUUACUUUUUAAAACUGAACACUAUGAAACAGGAGUAAUAGAAAAACAAUAAUAUUAAAAUUAGGUACAUUAAUUAUAAUCUUACCAUAAACUCACAGGUUAAGAAUUCAAAGAUAAAGUUCGCCACCCUGAGACCUAGAAAAGUAUAAGCAGAAACAUUCUUUAUUAGUUCUGGCAUUCAACUUUAAUUCACACACCAAAAAAAUGUUAGUAAUUUAAUAUUAUAAGAAAUUUUAUUAUAUGAGUAAUUAAUGUACAUUUAACAUGACAGCUUUGACUAUAACAUUUGUCUGCAAUAGCAUUAUCAGUAACUCGGCUCACAUCAAAUUAUUGUGAUUUAAGAUUAAUUACUUUAAUUUGGGCUCUGUAAUGCAGAAUGACAAACAAGCAAUCUUUAGUGUCUUCUUUGCUUCUUGUGAAACUAUGGGUGAUGGACACAUUUGCAAGAAGAAUGUAUUUUGCAUAUGUUAUUUUGGAGAAGCUUCUUUGUUACAUUCAUUUGACAGUGUCAAGUAUACUUCCAUCCAUCUCUAUACAUAUACACAUGCAAUCACAUUCAUGUGCAUACACUCAAAUGUGUUUAUCAUACUGUAAUCCUAUUUUCAUAAUUGCUUCAUCUGUAUUAAUCAUUAAGUAAUGUAAUAAUAUAGAAUUCUCCUUAAAUGUAGAGACUCUAUGUUAUCAUUUUAAAGAUUGCACAGUUAGGGGCUGUAGUUGUGGCUCAGUGGCAGAGCACUUGACUAGUACUUGUGAGACACUGGAUUUGAUCCUUAGCACCACAUAAAAAAUAAAUAAAAUAAAGUUAUUGUGUUCAUGCAUAACUAAAAAUAUGAAAAAAGAAGACUUCAUCGUAUUCUAUAGUUUCAUCCUAAAUUGUCUAGGAUAUUUGAUUUAAUAAAAACGUUGUGUGAAACUGGUAUUAUCCUCUUUAAAUUAAGUCACUCAAUUACCAUUGUGUGUGACAUUUAAUAGUUGCUGCAUCCUUUGCAAAAUUUUAUUUUGAUAAAAUGGUACUAAGUAGUCAAUAAACAUUACUAAGUUCUUAAAUUUGCUUUGUUAUAGCAAUGAGUUUGCAAAUACUGCUAACUUCUUCAUGGAGGACCAAGAUUAAAUCUUCAAUUUUUUCUUCUUUUUAUGUAGAAUAGUAUCUAACUAUAAUGGAAAUUUUUUCUUAAGGCUCCACGUGGUGUGAUUCGAAAUGCUUGUACCUCAAAAAGUGCAUGGAAGAGUCACAGGGGCACUUCCUUCCUGCUCUCAUUUUUAUCAAGAAAUGCAGCAAAUGAAUUUUUGGUGAAAUGAAAAAAGGUUGAAAUGUUAGAAUCAGUAUCUGACUGGAACUAAUUGUAGAAUAAAACUUAGAUAUACAAAUUAUUAUUUUUAAUUGUUAUUACCUUUAUUAAAAAUUUUAAGUUAGGUUUUAAGCUUUUGACAUUAUAAUGCUGAAACAACAAUAUAUUCUUAACAUCCCUUAGCACUGUCAGAUGCUAGAUUACUCCUACAGGCACUGUGUUUCAUAUUUAGAAUAUUAAAUUAAUGCUUUUAGCUAAAUAACAUAAUUUCAAAAUAAAAAGCACAUAAAGAGAUUUAUGUGUUUAUAUGCAUUUGAAAGUGAAUAUUUAGACAUUAAUACUAAAUACAAAGGAUAUCCCCUUCUGUAUUACUGACACUAUUUCAUCAAUUAGAUAGUGGGAAUACAAAUUAUAAGUCCUUGUUCAUAUUUAAAUUCAGGAAUUUUAGAAAUGAUAUUGAAGGCAUUGGCUAGUUUGUUCUUCAAGGCCAGAUCCAAAUCGGAGAGGAGAUUUUAGGCAUAUAAGAAGACCAACACAGAAAUAUUAAGCACUCCAGCUUUAAUUUACCUUUUUAAAUGAUUUGUGAAGCUUGAUUCAGGCAAGGAUACUGUGUAUUGGGAUAUGUUUAAAGAAGAAAGAGUAAAUUUUAACAUAACAUUUCUAAAUAACUAUUUUUACAGGAGAAACUCAUGAUGAAGGACCAGUGAUUAAACUGUCAAUGACAUUGGCACUGGGUUAAAGUUUUAUCCUUGAUGCAUUUCAUGAAGUUUUAUUCCACAUAAGAUGCUAGAUAAGUGAAUCAUACCAGACAUACUUCUCUAAUAUGAACUAGUUCUCUUGGGAGGCACAGCCAUUCAGAAAGCACUUAUGGUAAGCCAAAUAAGCAAACCCCAAAAGACAUUUUUGGUGUUUUUAAAUAAUUGUAAUAUCCUAAAUCUAUCUUCUCAAAGAAGGAGUACUUCAAAGUUAUGUUUAUAUGACAGUUAAAUUGUUACAUAAAUUUUGAAAAUUGUAGCUGAGUUAAUAUUUCUGUAGAUAAACUAAUGCUAUUAGUGAAUACAUUUAGGACAUACAAUUCAGCAUUUGGAAAAAAAAAUCAUGAAUUGGCUUGUUAGAUGGGGAUUUCUUUGAUGUUAUAAAAGGAGUACUGGAAAUGGUAAGAUGGCAGAUAAAAGGAAGGAUGCACAUCCCGCCAGCUCCUCAACGAUAGACUUAAAAAGCCGUAAGAUGGCUUUUUAGCAAGGUGGUAAAUAAGGGAAUGAACUGAAGAUUAAUACUGAAGUGUUAAAAAAAACAAAAACAAACAGAAAAACUGAAGAGUCAUAGAAGUCAGAAGUACAAAUCUAAGAAAUAAUACAUUACAGAAGUGCCAUCUUGGGCGCCAUCCUGGCUGCCAUCAGCAGUAGCAAAGAGCCAAGGUUAGCAUAGACAGAAAAAUGGUGACAUGGCUGGCAGAUAAAGAAAUUGAAAAAUAAUGAAGAAUUGACUUGGGCUAACCUGAGGAUUAGAGUGUAAGUCUGAUUUUAAUAGUUAUAGCAUAGGUAGGGAAAGUGAAUUAGUGAAAGAAAAUCCAAAAAUAGCUCCCAUGGGAGCAGAGUCAUUUGGGGCACAGAAAAUGGUUGCCAGGCUCCUGAGGAAAGCUACAGUGGCAGUGCUCUCCACUGGCAGGGAAAGCAUGUGCUCACCCUUCUAGUCAGAGUAGUCUGCCACUGAAUCCCAGCUGACAGAGAAAACAUGGCAUUUCUGCAGCCAGGAAAAUGUGUGCUCUUGGUACCAAAGCAGCUGCCUCCCAUAUUCCUGUACCUGAGGAAGGCACAUGCAUGUGUGGCCCCUGCUGUACUCCCACUGCCUACGGAAUUUCCCCAACAGGAGACAGGAGAUCAGAAACCCCUGAAGCUAACCAAAAAUUCUCAGAAGGCAACUGAAGCAGAGAGGCUGAAAUAGGCACAAAGAAAAAUCUGACAGUCAGGUUCUGGAUUCCAAGGAUGAUAGAUAUCUCCCACUGUGGCUGGUGCUUCAGCAACUACACAGGAGCAUCAGCAAUCUAGGGCAGAGUCCCCAUAUUUCAUAUUCAUAGUGGUGAAGGUGAUGAGGCAGGAGCAAAGCACAGGUAGUCAGUAUAGAUAAUAAGUGAUCAGGUUGGAAAGAUGGCGGCUAAUUAUCAAAGGAAAAGAAAUAGAAUGUCAACACCUCCUGAGCACUUUCCCCCUCUCAACCAGUUACCAACACAUUCAGGGAAUUGCUCCCUGUAACAAAGGAGUUGCUAAUGAGUACCCCCUGCGUGGCUCUUUUCCUGCACUUUGGGCAGAUUCUGAGGAUAAUGAGGGAUACUCCUGGGCAGCUUUAUGCCUCCCUUUUGGUCACUUAGGAAAGAUUGGAGGAGGUGGGGGAGGAAAGGAAACCUGAGAUUUAUAAAGGGGCCAGACCCCGCCCCCCAUGAAGUCCACAAUCUCUGUUCUGUCCCUUAAAUAAAAAUUGUUUUCUAGGCUUACCUCUGCAUUUCUCAGGUGUUUAAUAUUCAACACCCUGGAAAUGAGGACCUGAUUUCCCAGAUGGGUAUCAGUGAAACCUGUAGAGGUUUUGUCCCUAAUACACUAAAAUUAUAUUUCACCAGAGACCCUAAAGAUGCAGACAUCCUGCUGAGACUGGCAUCCACCUUCCAAUGGGGUGUGUACAGCAACUCUCAAACACCCAUGCACAGAGUGCAGAAAUUCCAUCCAGACUAAAACUGAAUUACUGCUGUCUCCAAUUUAGGACUCUGCAAUACGCCUAGCACAGAAAGACACAAUUUGUCAACAUCCAAAUUGUGACACCCCACCAUACCCUGGUGAAGCUGGGGGACAAAAGUCAGUCAGUGUAGGUAAUGAAUGAUUGGUUCAGAAAGAAUAGGGCUGAUUCAGGAGGAAAUAAAAUGUUAAUACCUUAAAGGACAUUUCCCACUCCUCUACUUGUUGUCAAGAAUACCUUCCUCCAGGAAAGGGUUCCUCCCUGCAGGGAGUUGUAGGAGUUGUUAACAAGUAACCUCCUGGGUGGCUCCUUUCCUGCCCAUUUGGGCAGACACAAAGAGGCACCUCUGGAAGGCUUCUUUCUAAAGUUUUGUCACUAAGAUAAAGGGAGGAGAGAGCAUGAGAACAACUGAAAUCUAAAAAGUUUGAAAGGGGCAAGACACCCCCACUUCCUUGGACAGGCAGCUCUGGGGCCCCUUCUCUGUGAAGAAGUCUAUAUCUGCUCUAUCCUUUAAAUAAAACUUGCUUUCUAUGCUUGCCUUGGUGUUUCUCAGGUGUUCAAUUUUCAACAUCUGGGGAAAGGGAACUUGUGUUUAAUUUUCAACAUCUGGGGGACCCAAACUUGGCCUUGAUUCAUUCUCAUCAUCAGUAUCACUGUGAGCCUGGAAGCUGAGUGGUACUACAACCAGCUUUGCCUCCUAGCCACAUAGUCUGGCAGCUAAAAGAAGAACACAGAGGAAUUAGGUUACAACCUUGAUCCUCAACCCAAGGGUCCAAAGCCAAAUGUAAGAGAAUGAAAAUCCAUCUCCAACAAUAGAUUUGACAAUCAUGGUAUUAAUAAGCCCUUUAUUCCUCAGCAAGAUUUUAAAUUGAAAAAAAAUUUUCCUUUCCUCAUUACUAUUGCUUUUCUUUUCUUCAUACUCUCAUUUUAAUCUAUUUUUUUCUUCUUCUUUCUUUAAAAUUUUAACAUUUAAAAAUUUUUAAACACAAUUUCCUUGUAAAGUAUUAAUUUUUACCUUUUUUUUGUUUUUUGUUUUUUGUUUUGGUGCAUGUAUGUGGAUGUUUUUGUGUGGAUGGAUUCACUAUGCAAACAGGUUCAAUAAUAUAUACAUAUUUAUAUAAGGUUUAUCUUCACAUUAAUUUCUUCCUUCUGUACCUGUUUAUUAUUUAGCCUUGAUUUGUUUUAGGUAGGGUUCAAGAAUAUGUAGGUUUGAAAUAUUUUGAUCUUAUAGUUGCUGGUUUGUCCAUACUUUGGUUCACAUUUCUCUUAUUUCCCCUUCAUCACUCUCUUUCCACAGUAACAGUGACGUUUUCCUAUUCCCGGGUCUACUCUUCCUUUAUUUUAUUACUUUCUGUAAAUCUUUUAUUCCUUCUUAUUUAUAGCCAACAUCUGCUACUUACCACCUGCCUCUCCUUUGAUAACUUUUAAAAAAUAUUUCAAACUUUAUCUCACCUUCACACCUUCUUUUUCUUUGCUUAAGAAACUGUAAUUCUACUAAAUAGUAGAAUUAUAUAAUUAAUGUAAUUCAUACCCCAUUCAUAUGGUUAUGAUUAUUAAAACAGUGGAUAAUAUGGUAGGUACUUGAUGUUGAAUGCCUGAUCUACUGCAGUUUUGUAUUGCUAGUACUAAUUUUAAAUGCUGACCCCACCAUUACUAUAUAGAUGGCAAACAGUGUCAAAAUAGAGACUGGAUAUUUAUCUCCAUUCUGAACAACUGCCACUGAUAUUAGUGCUACUCCUGGCUGCCCCCUCUGAGAGGGGUAAAAAGUGGACUAGACACUUUAAGAUGACAGAGUAGAGAUCUUCCUGCUGAGAAACACAACUCAUCUAAGCAAUAGCAAGUUUCACCUCACACUAUGAUCUAGCCCCACCUGAGCCUAAACUUUACUUCAACAAAAAGAGUUGGGGAAACAAAAUUCCCAAAUGCAAAAUCGGGUCUCAAGGAGAAACCACCAGAAGGGAACUCAGAUCCCCUCCCUUGACAUCUACUCAUAUACUAACAACAGAGAAAUCCUAGAAUAUGUCUAGAAAGAACUACACACAUAAGGAGACACAUAUAGAAGAGGAAGGUGAAUCCAUCUCAAUUGAUGCACAAAUCCAGUACCUCUGAAAACAUGAGGAAACAGGCAAAAAAAAAAAAAAAAAAAAUCUCCUCCCCAAAUUCAUAAUCCUCCAAGAAAGGAUCCUAAUUAUAUAGAAGAAUAUAAAAUUCCAGAGAAAACUUAUGAAAAAAAACCCCUGAUUAUUAAAAAGUUCAAUGAACUAAAAGAAGAUCUAAAAAAUGAAUUAAGAGUGCAAAUUCAGGAGUUGAAAGACCAUUAUAAUAAAGAAAUAGAAAUACUGAAAAGAAAAAACUAGAACUCCUAGAAAUGAAAGACAUAAUGAUUCAAAUUAAAAAUUCACCUGAAAGCUUCAUCAGCAGAUUAAAUUUCAUAGAGAAUAGAACGUUAGUGCCUGAAGACAGAACCUCAGACAUUGAAGACAGGAUAAAUGAAUUUGAGUAUAGAGAGUACAGCAAAGAAGAGGAAAAAUAGAACAUGAUCAGGAUAUAUAGGAACUCUGGGAAACCAAAAAGAGACCAAAUCUAAGAAUCAUUAAGAUAGAAGAGAAUAUGGAGACAUAAGCUAAAGGCAUUAAGAAUGUUUUCAAUGAGAUAAUUACAGAAAACUUUUCCCAUAUCAGAAAGGAGAUAGACAUCCUCAAAAGGAGAAUUAAGGACCUAAAAUAGACCUGGUCAGAAAAGAAGCUUUCUAAGACACAUCAUAAUCAAAAUGCCUAACACAGAAAAUAAAGAAUAUUUAAUGCCACAAGAGAGAAACAUCAGGUCAUAUUUAGAGGCAAACAAAUAAGGCUCUCACUUCUGACUUCUCAACUCAAACACUAAAAUCAAGGAGAACCUGGAAUGAGAUAUUUCAUACUCUAAAAGAAAACAAUUCCCAACCAAGAGGAAAUAAAAUAAUUUCCAUAACAAAGAUAAACUAAAAGAAUUCAUGACAACCAAGCCAGCACAACUUCUCAAAGAAAAACUGCAGAGAAACCAACAAACAAAUCCCAAAACUUCCAAAUAGGUACACAUCAAAAGAAGACUAAUUAUCUAAGUUAUCUAAAUGAGAAUUAAACAGAACAAAAAAAUCAAAGUGGUAGUAAACCAAACACAAACACAUAUCCAUAACAGUGGAUAUAAAUGAUUUCAACUCCCCAAUUAAAAGACAUAGAUUAGCAGAAUGGAUCAAGAGACAAGAUUUAAUUAUAUGCUGACUAUAAGAGACUGAUUUCACAGGCAAGGACACUCACAGCCUAAAGAAAAGAGAAUAGAAUAAAACAUUCCAUGAAAAUGGAGUCCAUAAACAAGCCAGAGUAGCUAUUCUUAUAUCUGAAAAAGAUGAUUUCAAGCAGAAAACCAAUCAAAAUAGACAAAGAAGGACAUUAUAUCUCAAUAAAUGGGAAAAUGCAAGAAGAAGCUAUAACAAUAGUAAAUGUAUAUGCCCCAAUUGUCAGCAUGCCCGAUUACUUAAAAAAAAUACCCAACAUUAAACCCCAGUUACACCACAAUACAAUAAUUCUGGAUGACUUCAACAUACCCAUAUUACCAAUAAAUGGCUCAUCAAAGCAUAAAAUCAAUACAAAUAUAGCCAACCUAAAUAAUAUUAUAAUAUUAAUAGCAACCUAUAUAAUAUUAUAUUAUGUCAAAUGAACAUAAUAUACAUCUACAGAAUAUUCCACUCUGAAAAUGGCUGGAUUUACCUUCUUCUCAACAAUUUACUGUAUCUUUUCCAAAAUAGAUUAUAUUUUAUGUCACAAUAUCAAUCCUAGCAAAUAAAAAAAAAGAUGUAUUUCCCUGCAACCUGUUAGAUAAUUAUGUAAUGAAACUAGAAAUUAACAGUAAGAGCAUAAUAAUAAAAAUCCUAUAAACAUAUGAGGGUUAAACAAUACUCAUUAAAAUAAAUAAUGGAUCAAGAAUAAAUGAGAGAAGAAAUUAAUAAAUUCUUAGAAACAAAUGAAAACAAACACAACAUAUCAAAAUCUCUGGAACAAUAUGAAAACAGAACUAAGAGGAAAACUUAUUGCAUUGAGUGACCACAUUAAAAAACAGAGAGAUCCCAAAUAAAUAAGCUUAUGCUCAACCACGAGGCCUUAGAAAAAAAUCAAACUAACUUUAAAAUCAGUAGAAGAGGGGAAAUAAUAAAGAUCAAAACUGAAAAUGAUGAAAUUGAGAAUGAAAAAAUAUACAGGAUCAAUGCAACAAAGAGUUCGUUCAUCCAACAAAUAAGAUUGACAAACCCUAGCCAAACUAACUGAGGUGGGGGAGGGAGGUGGAAGAGAGAAAGACCCAAAUCAACAAAAUUAGAGAUAAAAAGGAGAUAUCACCACAGAUACUUCUGAAAUCCAGAGCAUCAUUGGAAACUAUUUUGAAAAUAUAUACACCAAGAAACUGCAAAUUGACAAAUUUCUAAACACAUAUGACCUACUCAAAUUGAACUAGAAAGACAUAGAAAACUUAAAUAGACUAUUAUCAUCUAAUGAAAUUACAGUAUUUAAAAGCCUACCGACAAAGAAAAGCUCAGGACCAGAUGGGUUCUCUGAGUUCUAGUAGACCUUUACAGAAAAAUUAACACCAGUCUUCCUCAAAUUAUUCUAUGUAAUUGAAAGUGAAGGAACACUCCCAAAUGCAUUCUAUGAGGUCCGUAUAUCCCUGAUACCAAAACCAGAUAAAGACACAUCUUGGAUAGAAAACUACAGGCCAAUCUUCCUGGUGAACAUAGAUGCAAAAAUCCUUACUAAAAUAUUAGCAAGCCACAUUCAAAAAUGUGAAGAUGAUACACCAUGACCAAGAGGGAUUCAUCCCAGGCAUACAAGUUUGGUUGAAAAUAUGCAAGUCAAUAAAUGUAAUUUGCCACAUAAAUAGAAUUAAGAACGAGAACUAUAUGAUAAACUCAAUAGACAUAGAAAAGGCCUUUAGCAGAAUACAGCAAUCAUUCAUGUUAAAAUGCUGGAAAAACUACAGACAGAAGAAAAUUACCUUAACAUUAUAAAGACUAGAUAUUACAAACCCAAGUCAACAUUUUACUGAAUGGAAAAACCUGAAAGCUUUUUCUCUAAAAUCAGGAACAAGAAAAUAAUGUCCACUUUAACCAUUUUUAUUCCAUGAGGCUCUUGAAACUCUAGUCAGAACAAUCAGACAAGAGGAGGAAAUUAAAGAUUUACAAAUAGUGAAAAGAAAAAGUCAAACUACCACUGUUUGCUGAUGAUAAAAUAUUAUAUCUAGAAGACCCAAAAAUUCCACCAGAAGACUCCUACAGUUGAUAAAUAAAUUUAGCAAAGUAGCAGGAUACAAGAUAAAUAAUUGUAAACCAAUAGUUUUAAAUAAAACCAUCCCUUUAACAAUAUCCUCUAAAACAAACCUGAAAAUUAAGAUCUAACCAAGGUAGUAAAAGAUCUCUACAGUGAAAAUUAUGAAACACUGAAGAAAGAAAUUGAAGAUGACCUCAGAAGAAAGAAAUUGAAGAUGACCUCCCAUGUUUUUGGAUAGGCAGAAUCAAUAUUUUCAAAAUAGACAUACUACCAAAAGCAAUAUACAGAAUCAAUGAAAUACCCAUCAAAGUACCAAUGACAUUCUUUAUAGAAGUGGAAAAAAUAGUUCUUAAAUUAAUUUGGAAGAAUAAGAGACCAUAAUGGUCAAAGCAAUUUUGAAUGAGAAAGGUGAUGCGGUAUGCAUUGAAGUGUCUGACCUCAAAUUGUACUACAAAGAUAGAAUAGCAAAACCAAGAUGGCAUCAAUACAGACAUGAAGACAAACGGAAUAGAAGAUACAGAGAAAAACUCACUUACGGUCAUCUGAUACUUGGUAAAGGUGCCAAAAUUAUAUGUUAGAGGAGGAUCCAAAUGGGGGGCCUGAGAGAGGCAGCAUUCUGUGUUGCUCCAUGACCUGGGACUCAAGUAGUGAACAUACUGCUUCUUUGUGAGCAAUAUUCCUGCUCCUGCAUGGGCAUCAUGGCCACUGUGCCCAUCCAGUGAUCCAGGACUCAGCAUCAAAGUAGGUCUCCCAAUUACUUGCCCAUGCAGGAUUACUGGGUACCUGAGUGGGACCAUCAACAUACGCUCAGAACAUUCAGCCACCCACCAAGCAAAAAUCACCCAUGCCACUCCCACUCAGGACACCCCACAGCUUCCCACCCAGUAAUUCCGGCCACCAAUCCUGUGUGGAUCCCCAUCUACCAACAUGAGGUUCCCCUGGUGGCUGCCACCUUGGGAAUCAUCAGCAACAGACAUAGUCCUCUACUCGAAGUAGCCUGCCUGCACCAAGGAACUUCAUGCAGGCUCUGAAGUCAGCCAACACUGAAAGCCACAGGGCUUGUCUCUGAACUCAUCAUCCAAAGCCAUCACUCGGCUCCCCCCACCUGACCCAACGCCCCACCUCUAAAAGCAGGCACCUCCAUCUUGGGUCACCUUCACCAACAUCUUCCAGGUACCCAGCUUCUAACUCCCCCCUCUUCCCAGUAGGCACUAACCCAGCACAGUGAUACCCCUGUUACCUUCACCAUCCUAAGGACAGAGAUACCAGUUAACAACAGAUGACCCCACCUAUUAGAUGAGAAAGGAAGCAGGAAAGACAUGGAUCUUCAAUCAAAACGAGCCCUGUGUCUUCCUUCAAGAUUUUCUUUUUUUUUUUUCUCUCUCUCUCUCUCCAUUCUCCCACCCUCAUAUUCCCAACAUAUGUGAAGCCAAGUACUUUGCAUGAAUUGGGAUUUUAAGGACUAGGAUGCCUGAAUAGUAUAUUAUAGUUUUGUUGUAUAUUCUUUUUAUUAUUCUUUUGUAUAUUUCUUUCCCACCAAUUUAUUCUAUUUUAACUUUUUUUUAAUCUUUCUUAAUAUAUAUGUGUGUUUGCUUUAGGUACUCUACUGUCUUUCCCACUUACCUGUCUACCCCAAAUUACUUUCUCUCCCUUCUCCUGCUACUAAUCUUCCUCUUUAUAUUUCUCUUUCACACUUCCUAAGAUAUAGCAACUCUACAUCCUCACCUCCUACCUCCUCAGCAUAUCAUCCUACUCCUUACCCCUGGUUCUAUAUCUUCCAUCAGAAACUGUAAACCCUUUUACAAACAUACUGAGUAUUCUGUAAAUAAUAAUUGAAUUCACCAUUUAUGUACAGUGUGACCAAACUGUAAAUGUCUUAAUAGCAAACAUUUGUUUUUAAGGUGUAUAUUGUUCAUAUUGUGAUCUGAUAAGUCUGUCACAUCAAAGGAGAGGUAGUGGAUCCCUACAGGGGCACUAUAAGACUAUAAUAUAAAAAUGGUAAUGCUUAGGAUCCACAGUGCUAGAAGGGAAGAAACACAAGCAAUAUAAAAAGACAAGGGAAGAAAAUGCCCCAAACAAAUCAAGACACCACAUUAUUAAAAUUCAUGGCCAGCACAGCAGAAGAAAUGAGAAGAGAAGGAGUUCAGGAUGUACAUAAUUAAAAUGAUCUACAAAUUAAAGAAUGAUAUGAAAAGAAAAUACAAUCAACAAAAUAUCAUUUUUAACAAAAAGCUACAUAAACAAAUACAGGAAGAAAAUGAUUACUUCAAUAGGGAGAUAGAGGUCAAAACAACAACAACAACAACAACAAAAAAAAAAACACCCAGAAAUCCCUGAAAUGAAAGAAACAAUAAACCAAAUUAAAAGUUCAACUGAAAGCAUCACCAACAAAUUAGAUCACUUGGAAGAUAGGACCUCAGACAAUGAAGACAAAAUAUAUAAUCUUGAAAAGAAUGUAGACCACACAGUGAAAAUGGUAAGAAGUAAUGAGCAGAACAUUCAAGAAAUAUGAGAUACCAUACAAAGACCAAAUUUAAAAAUUAUUGGGAUAGAAGAAGGAAUAGAAUUCCAAACCAAAGGAAUAAGCAAUCUAAUCAAUGAAAUAAUAUAAGAAAAAAUUCUAAACAUGAAGAAUGAAUUGGAAAACCAAAUUCAAGAGUCUUACAGGAUGCCAAAUGAACAAAAUCACAACAUAUCCACACCAAGCCACAUUAUAAUGAAAAUUCCUAACGUACAGAAUAAGGAGAGAAUAUUAAAAAUCAUUAGAGAAAGAAAUCAGAUUACAUAUAGGGGGAAACCAAUUAGAUUAUGUGCAAAUUUUUCAACCCAGACCCUGAAAGCUAGAAGAUCCUUGAACAACAAAUAUCAAGCUCGUGAAGAAAAUAGAUGGCAACCAAGAAUCUUAUAUCCAGCAAAAUUAAGCUUUAGAUUUGAUGAUGAAAUAAAAACCUUCCAUUAUAAACAAAAGUUAAAAGAAUAUACAACUCGAAAGCCUGCACUACACAACAUCCUUGGCAAAAUAUUUUAUGAAGAAGAAUUGACAAACAACAAAGAAAAUCAGCAAAGGGAGAUAUUACACUACAGUGAAAACUAAUCAAAGGAGAAACCAAGUCAAUUUAAAUACCAAAAUUAAACAAAAUGACUGGGAGUACAAAUUAUGUCUCAAUGAUAACCCUCAAUUUUAAUGGCCUAAACUCACCAAUCAAAAGACAUAGACUGGCAGAUUGGAUUUUAAAAAAAGACCUGACAAUAUGCUGCCUCCAAGAGACUCCUCUCAUAGGAAAAGACAUACACAGACUGAAUGUGAAAGUUUGGGAAGAACAUACCACUCACAUGACUUUGUAAGCAAGCAAGGGUUUCCAUCCUUAUAUCAAAUAAAGUAGACUUCAAGACAAAGUUAAUCAAAGGGGAUAAAUAGGUUACUUCAUACUGCUUAAAGGAACCAUUCAUCAACAAGAUAUAACAAUAAUAAAUUUAUAUGCUCUAAACAAUGGAGUAUCUAUGUUCAUCAAACAAACUCUUUUCAAGUUCAACAGUCAGACAAACCACAAAAAGAUAAUUGUAACUUUAACACGCAUCUUUCUCCACUGGAUAGAUCUUCCAAAAAAAAAAAAAAAGCUGAAAAAAGAAAGUAUAGAACACAAUAAUACAAUCAAUAACUUUUACUUAACUGACAUAUAUAGAAUAUUUAAUCCUUCAGUGAGCGAAUACACUUUCUUCUCAGCAGCACAUGGAUCCUUCUCUAAAAUAUAUCAUAUAUUAUGCCACAAAGCAUCUCUUAGUGAAUAUAAAAAAAGUAGAGAUACUAUACUGCAUUAUAUCAGAUCACAAUGGAAUGAAAUUAGAGAUCAAUGAUAAAAUAAAAAAUAAAAGAUACUCCAACACCUGCAGUAAAUCAUAUGCUAGUGAAUGAACAAUGGGUUGCAAAAGACAUCAAGGAGGAAAUUAAAAGAUUCUUAGAAAUGAAUGAGAACACUGAUACAACAUAUCAAAAUCUCUAGGACACUAUGAAGGCAGUACUAAGAGGAAAGUUCAUUGCAUGGAGUUCAUUUCUUAAAAGAAGAAAAAGUCAACAAAUAAAUGACUUAACAUUACAUCUCAAAGCCCUAGAAAAAGAACAAAUCAAUACCAAAAACUGUGGAAGACAGGAAAACAUUAAAAUCAGAGCUGAAAUCAAUGAAAUUGAAACAAAAGAAAUAAUUGAAAAAAUUGACAAAACAAAAUGUUGGUUCUUUUAAAAAAAUAAAUAAAAUUGACAAACACUUAACUAUACUAAUGAAGAGAAGAAGAGAGAAAACCUCUCAGAAGGUGAUGUACAAUAAAUCAACAAAUAUAUUUUAAAAAAUGUUCAACAUCUCUAGCAAUUAGAGAAAUGAAAAUCAAAACUACUCUUAAGAUUUCAUCUCAAUCCAGUCAGGAUGGCAGGUAUUAAGAAUACAAACAACAAUAAGUGUUGGUGAGGAUGUGGGGAAAAAGGGCACACAUUUACAUUCCUGGUGGGACUGCAAAAUGGCAUAGCCAAUAUGGAAAGCAACAUGAAUAUUUCUUGGAAAACUUAAAAUGGAACCACCAUUUGACCCAGCUAUCCCACUCCUCAGUUUAUAUUCAAAGGACUUAAAAAGAGCAUACUACAGGGACCCAGCUACAUCAAUGUUUAUUGCAGCACAAUUCACAAUUGCUAAACUAUGGAACCAAUCUAAAUGCCUAUCAUUAAAAAAAUGGAUAAAGAAAAUGUUGUGUAUAUACACAAUGGAAUAUUACUCAGCAAUAAAAGAGAAUAAAAUCAUAAUAUUUGCAUGUCAAUGGAUAGAUUUGGAGGAUAUAAUGCUAAGUGAAGUUAGCCAAUUCCAAGAAACCAAAUGCUGAAUGUUUUCUCUGAUAUAAGUAGGCUGAUUCAUAGUGGGUUUGGGAGGGGGAGCAUGGGAAGAUUAGAUGAACUCUAGAUGGGGCAAAAGGGAGUAAUACAUUCUGCUGUCAUAUAUAACAAAUUAGAAUAAAAAAUAAAAGUAAAAAAUAUAUAUGUUAAAGAAAAUAUAUCCUUUAUAACAAAUGAUGCUAGGAAAAUUUGAUAUAUACAUGUAUUAAAUGAAAUUAUAUACAUAAAUAUCACUCUACAUAAGUCAAAUUAAAAUGGAUCAAAGACUUAGGAAUUAGAACAGAAAUCUUGUAAUUCCUAAAAGAAAACACAGAGUCAGCACUCCAUCAAACAGGUUCAGGUAGUGGCAUCCUCAACAAGACUGCUAAAGCUCUAGAAAUAAAACUAAGAAUCAAUAAGUAGAAUUCCAUCACAUUAAAAAGCUUCUGCAUAGCAAAGUAAAUGAUUAAGAAAGUGAACAGAGAGUCUAUGGAAUGAGAAAAAAAAUCUUUGCCUGUUACGUAUUGGCAGGGGAUUCAUAUCUAGUAUCCAUUUAUGGGCUGUGUGGACUAUGUUGUGCAUCCUAGCCUAUUGAGGGGAUAAGUCUGGAAUUAGGAACUUCCUGUGGAACUCCUCACAGGGAUUGAUCACCUGAUGCAGCUGAACUUCCCUCUCAAGCUCUGCCAAAGAUCCAGCAUAGCACCUGAGAUCCCUGUGACCUGAGAAGAUGCCAAUCAACCUGCUGACUAGCAGAUCUCAUGAUGCAAGACUCCACCCUUGAAACCUUAUCCCUGCCUUUGAUGUACCUCCUUAAAUAAACCACCAGGGCCUUCUUUUCUUUGUCUAGUUCCAGUACCCAUGUGGACUAGAUCUAACAGGGGCUUCACUAUUGUAAAUAUAUUUUUGGCUAUUUGUGUUUUGUUUUUCAGUGAUUAUUUGAGAACUUUAAGUUUUAGGGUAGCUUACAUCCUCCUGGACAGGAAGAAGAACCACCAAUGAAAUGCUAGUCAUUACCCCCAUUAAUCUAGGGUAUAUUAAAAAUUCAAAAAUUAAUGUCAAAACCCCCCUAAAUAACCCAAUCAUUAAAUGAGCAAAAUAAUUAAACAGAAAUUUCUCAGAAAGAAGAAACAUAAAUGGCCAGUAAACCUAUGAGGGAAAAAAGGUGUUCAACAUUUUUAGCAAUCAGGGAAAUGAAAAUCAUAGCUACGCUAAGAUUUCAUCUCACUCCAAACAGAAUCGCAAUUAUCAAGAAUAAAAUAAUAAUAAGUGUUGGCAAGAAUGUGGGGGAAAAUGUAGACUUAUACAUUGUUGGUAGGAUUGCAAAUUAGUGCAACCACUUUGGAAAGCAGUGUGCAGAUUCCUCAAAACACUAGGAAUGGAGAUACCAUAUGACCCAGCUUUCCCCACACCUUUGUGUCUAUCCAAAAGAACAAAAUUGGCAUACUGUAGCAAUAUAGCCACUACCAUGUUUAUAGCAACAUAAAUUAUGUUUACAGCAACAUAAUUUAUAGCAACAUAAUUCCCAGUAGCCAGAUUAUAGAAUCAACCCAUUGGUUCCACAGUGUAGCUAUUGUGAAUUGUGCUGCUAUGAAACUUGAUGUGACUGUGUCCUUAAGGCAUGCUGUUUUUAAAUCCUUUGGGUAUAAACCAAGGAGAGGGAUAGCUGGGUCAAAUGGUGGUUCCAUUCCCAAUUUUCCAAGAAAUCUCCUUACUGUAUUCCAUAUUGGCUGCACAAACUUGCAGUCCCACCAGCAGUGUAUGAGUGCAACUUUUCCCCCCACAUCCUCGACAACACUUAUUGUUUGUGUGCAUAAUAGCUGCCAUUCUGACUGGAGUGAGAUGAAAUCUUAGAGUGGUUUUGAUUUGCAUUUCUCUAAUUGCUAGUGAUGAUGAACAUUUUUUCAGGUAUUUGUUGAUUGAUUGUACAUCAUGUUCUGAGAAGUGACUCUUCAGGUCCUUGGCCCAUUUAAAAAUGUGGCAUAUAUACACAAUGGAAUAUUACUCAGCAAAAAAAAGAGAAUAAAAUCAUGGCAUUUGCAGGUAAAUGGAUAGAAUUAGAUAAAAUAAUGCUAAGUGAAGUUAGCCAAUCCUCCAAAACACAAAUGCCAAAUGUUUUCUUUGAUAUAAGGAGGCUGAUUCAUAGUGGGAUAGGGAGCAGGAGCAUGGGAGGAAUAGAUGAACUCUAGAUAAGGCAUAGAGGUUGGAGAGGAAGGAAAGGGGCAUGGGGUUAUUAAUGAUGGUGAAAUGUGAUGAUAAUUAUUAUCCAAAGUAUAGGUACAAAGACAUGAAUUAUUGUGAAAAUACUAUGCAUACAGCCAGAGAUAUGAAAAAUUGUGCUCUAUAUGUGUAAUAAGAUUUGUCAUGCAUUCCGCUGUCAUUCACACACACACACACACACACACAUACAUAUAUAUAUAUAUAUAUAUAUAUAUAUAUAUAUGAAUGGGUCAAGAAAAUGUGGUAUAUAUACACAAUAGAGUUUUACUCAGUCAUAAAGCAGAAUUAAAUAAUGGCAUUUGCUGGUAAAGGAAUAGAAAUAUAUAUAAAAAAUCAUACUUGUGUGAAAUAAGCCAAUGAUCCAAUGUUUUCUCUAGACAUUUUGCUAAAGCAAAAUAUGGGAAAGGCAGCAAUGGGGCACUGGAUAGGAUAAUAGGGAAGAUCAGUGGAGUAGGGGAACUGGAGGGAAGAAAGAAGAGAAAGGGAAAGAAAUAUAGAAUGAAUCUAAUAGAUCAUGUAUAUAUACAUAUGUAAAUGUACCAAAGAGAAUUUCACUUUUAUGCAUAUGUAGAAACUACCAAUAAAAAAUAAAUAAAGGAAUAAAAGGAAGAUCAGUAGAGGAAAGGAGAGAGAAAAGGGGAGGGGCAGAGGGCAGGAAAAGGGAGGGGAAAGGAGAUUGAAAUCAAAUUACUUGUAUGAAUAAUUUUGUCAAAAGGAACCAAACUACUAUAUAUAAUUUUAACACUCUAAUAAAACAAGAUUUGACCCCCCCAAAAAAAUAAAAAUAAAAGAGGAUACUGUACAUCUCUGUGUUUGAAUUUUGCUGAGAGUCUAUUUUUUGUGGGGGAAAGAAGAAGCUGAAUGUUCAAAUACCUUGAAAAUCUUAAAAUUAUAAAAUCAUCCUAAAGAUAAUUUAAAAUAACUAUAAGUACUUUUAAGUAAUUAUGGAUAGUUUUAAAGAUAAUUUGGUGGAGUUUGGAAAAUAAUGCUUAAUUGGCAAAGAAUAAUUAGUGCUGUGAUAAGAUGAUACUACAUUUUUAUUUUGUGUAUCAUCAAUGAAUACUCACAAAAGUCUUGUGUUAGAGAUUAUUUUCCACAUUAUUUUCAGAUAUGAGACUGAAAACUAAUGGUUGCCUGAAUGAAUUCUAAAAAUCCUUACCACUAAUAUAUUUUGGAAUCAAAGUUCAACAUAAUCUUAAAUUCUGAAUUUCAAUUAUUUACCAUGAUAGGAUAAUAUUAGUAGAUGACAUUCUUCAAAUACAUAGUACCUGUCAGGCACUGGUAUAGUUUUACAUAUUAACUCAUUUAAUUCUUAUGCUUAUAUUCCUACUUUAUGUAUAAGUAAAAUUGAGCCACAACACAUAGUCAUUGUACAGUAUUAUUGCAAGUACUAUUUCAAUAAACAUAUAUGCUUAUUAUUCUUUUCAAGUUUAGGGAGUCAUGUGUUUGCACAUUUAUUUUACGUCUUUUGUCACCUUAUUGAUGGGUUCUAGGUGAUAAAAACAAUUAACAUUUAUUGAAUACAUACUGUUUGCCAAGAAAUAUGUUAAAUGCUUAAUUAAGCUCAUCUCAUUUUAUCUCCAUAGGAAUCCCACCAGAUAUUUUGAAUAACCACAUAACACUGGUAAAAAACUGAUUAAAGAAUUUAACAAAUGCAUACUAGGGUAUCCAGCUAUUAAGUGAAAAACUCUCAGUUUUAGACACAAACUCUCUUACUCCAUAGAUGUAACAUAGAGACUCUUUUAAUGAGAAAGAAGUGUGAAAAGACUUGGGGGAUUCCAAUUUAGUUUGCUGGAAAGAAAUUUUCAAAUUCACAAAGCAGAGAUAAGAAUACACCCUCAAUUUUAAGUAAAUCAACAAUAACAAUAAACAAAUUAAAAAUCUAGCCUUAUAACUCUAAUAUAUUAUGAUUAAUUUUAAGUAAUAAAAACCCAUAGUACUUAGUUUAUUAAAUGCUACAUUAAAACUUUGCAUUAUUUAUCAGACAUGACAAUUUCUAGAGUUUUCUGUCAAUAAAUUUUAGGAUACCUAAGAUUUGACAAAAUAUGUAAAUUUUAUGUAAUAUAUGAACAAUUUUGGCCUAGGUUAUCAGAAACACUUUCUUGAAAAACUAGAUUGCUUCUUAUCCAUUUAGGAAAAAUGUAAAUAAUGCUUAAAUUUUUUUUUGAACUCAGUUCUUUCAAGAGUGUCAAGCUUAUCAUCUUGGAAACACAGCUCUUAUUAUAAUUGCAGGCAAUGCUUUUGGAAAAAAAUGUAGACUGCUUCAGUGAAACUUAGCAUAUUCCAAAUUCUCAAUAAAUAACUAAUGAAUAUCUAAAUGCUGCAAUAGAAAGUAAUUACCGGAUAGACUGUUUGCUGUUAGAUUUUGCCUUAGCUCAAUAAUAUCCAAGCCUUCUCAGUGUCUUUCAAUGUUUAGAUAAUUUCUGACAAAGCAGAUCUAAAACACAGGGAAAGCUGCAUGCCAGACAAUGAUAGGUAAUCUAUCAACCCAUCCCAUGAUUAAACUAUGUAAAUUUGUUUUAUAAUGUGAUAUAAAAUGGCAAUAACUAAUUGAUUUAUUUAAAAAAUAUUUAUGAGCAAUUAUUUACAAGAUACUAUUACUAUAUUGGAAUGGGUGUUUGAAAUGAUAAAUAAAACAAAUAUGGUCUUCCCUCACUGAUUUUAUAUUCUGGUUUCUUACAUUCACUUUAUAUAUAUAUAUAUAUAUAUAAUUUCUUAUACCUUUAUUUUAUUUAUUUAUUUUUAUGUGAUACUGAGGAUUGAACCCAGAGCCUCACACAUGCUUGGCAAGUGCUCAACCACUGAGCAACAACCCCAGCCCUGCAUAUUCUGGUUUCUUAUUUUUUUUAACCCCUAUUUAAUGCCCCUGUAAUCUAAUCAGUUCACCCAAGUUUGCAUGGGCUAACCUCGUGAUAAUCAUGGCUGGUGGUACAUGACUGGAUGAGGUGGGUCUCUGAGGCAUGCCCUUGGGGAUUUUAUUUUUCCCUCUGGAUCCUUUAUUUCUCUUUCUCUCCUUUCCAAAUGUCAUGAGCUGAAUAGUUUUCUCCACCAUACCCUCCUUCCAGUAUGUUCUGCCUCACCUUGGGGCCAUACCAAUGAAGUUAGUUGGUCACAGAUUGAACCUCCGAAACUAGGAACCCCAAAUAAACUUCUCUUCCUCUCAAAUGCUCUUAUUUGGUAUUUUGGUCACAACAAUGAAAGGCUAACAUACAUUCUAUAAUCUCUUCUAUGCAUUUUCCUUUAGGUCUUCUAGACCCUAUUUUAAGAAGCUUUAAGGAAAUUCAAGUGGGUAUAAUACUAUGGCACAAAAUCCUGAUUAUCUCCCAAUGUUCAUCUUUCCUUGCUUUCUAUAAAAGUAUCCCUGAUUUUCAGCAAGGUAUAGAGCAUCUGGAGUAAGACAGUGAUCCUAAGUGUCAGUGCCAUAAGAUUAAGUUCUGGUAAAAGCUUGUAUGUGGAAGUAGAGUAGGUAAUAUAUAGGAAGUGUCAUUGCAUAUGGGAAGAUUGUCCAUCUUUGGUCCUGUUUGUUUUUAAUUUCUGGCAAGAAUGGAGAAUUAAUUGCCUGAAAUGUCAGCCGUCAUUCUGUGUCAUCAGGGGACUCUCUACUCUCCCAGUUCUCCCAAACUCUAGCAGGCUGAUAAGAGGGUACAACAUGCUGUGUCAUCUCAGACUUGCAUAGAUUGUUUCUUCAGUGUGAAAGAGAAAUUACUGCUAAAUAAACAGAAAGUGUAUUGAUGGAUUUCAUGGAAUACAGUGUGUUAGGAAAAAAAAUAACUGCUAAUCACUACAGGGUUACUUUUUAGGUGAUAAAAUAUUAUAUUAAAAAUUGGUACUUGGGCUGGGGAUGUGGCUCAAGUGGUAAAGCGCUUGCCUGGCAUGCGCAGGGUGCUGGGUUCAAUCCUCAGCACCACAUAAAAAUAAAUAUGUUGUGUCCACCGAAAACUGAAAAAUAAAUAUUAAAAAAUUCUCUCUCUCUCUCUCUCUCUCUCUCUCUCUCUCUUCCUUCUUCUCUCUUCUCUCUCUUUCUUUAAAUAAAAUUGGUGCUUAUACAACUAUGAAAACACAAAUAAAAAGAACCGGAUAUUUUAAAAGGCAUCAAAAUGCUUAACUUAUGGUGUGUUAAUCACAUCUAAAUCAAACAAUAAAACUAGUAUUAUUAAAAGCAGCUUAUGUCACUCUAUGGUUAAUUUUGUCUCAUAUAAUUUAGGAACAUGUUUGUGAAGCCUAUUUUCAAGGGGACUCAAAUUUGUCUGAAUUUCUAACUUCUUACUAUGCAUUAACACAUCAGUAAAUUUUAGGAGAAGUAAAAAUAACAACAGAAAAUGACAACAUCUGUCUUCUACAGUCUAAAAUCUACUCAGAAUUAAGUAACACCAAGUCAAACCACUAACCUCCUAGGGAUUUGUGUGUGUCUUUAUUGUAUAAUUGAAAGUUACUUGAAAUCUACUACAUAACAAACAGUGUAAUUAGAAAUUUUUGAAAUAUGUUGAUGAUAAUGUGGGGACGUACUGGGGAAUAAAAUCUGAAAAAAAUAUGAUAUAUCCAUGCAUGGAUAUACCACAAUGAAUAUAUUUACAUACAUAAUGUACUAAUUAAAAGUUAAUUGACACUUAUAGGAGCUUACACCGAGCACGGAGCGGCCGAGUUCCGGCUCCCGGAACUUCCCUGGACCGGGGCUAGGAGCCCGCGGAAACUGUGUCUCGGUCCGGGUCCUGCUGAGGGCAGGUCAGGACUCACCCAUUGCUUGGGUUGCCUGGCAAGGGGAACGAAAUGCUGCCAUUCGCAUAGGAUACCAACAUGGCAGAGAUCUGAUGUCAGCAGAAAGCGGUGGAGGAGAGAUCUUCAUCAAUACCAGCGGUGACAUAAGCAGUUGGUCUCCUGGUAAGGGGGGUGAGGCUCAGUCACCCGAGUCUCCUCAAUUUGUCCUCGAGCCAGAGGGAAGGAGCCGGGCCACCGCCAGCCCCCGGAGCAGGCCCAGCGGCUCGCCAGCGUGGUGACCGCGUGACCCCAAUUGGAGAGGGGGCGGAGCGGAGCCGCCACCCACACCCGCCAGGUGGGCAGACCCACGACCCAGUAGUACAUGGGCGUGGUAGGAGGGGCAGGGCAGAGCCGCCCUUCGCGCUUGCAAGGUAAACAGACCUGUGACAGCCUGGCGGGUCAGGCCCAGUGGCCUGCCAGUGUGGUACACANAAUAACAAUGAAAACCAACAGUGGGAGGUAGGACAGUAAAGGGGGGGGGGAAACAAUCAAAGAGGAAAACAAACAAUGUUUAGUAACAGAAAUAAACAAAUAUGGCUGGAAGAACAACCCAUAUCUCAAUAAUAACCCUAAAUGUUAAUGGCUUAAACUCACCAAUUAAGAGACACAGGCUAGUAGAAUGGAUCACAAAACAAGACCCAACAAUAUGCUGCCUACAGGAGACGCAUUUGAUAGGAAAAGACAUACAUAGGCUGAAGGUGAAAGGUUGGGAAAAAUCAUAUCACUCAUAUGGACUUCGGAAACAAGCAGGCGUGUCCAUACUCAUAUCAAAUAAAAUAGAUUUCAAGCCAAAGUUAAUCAAAAGAGAUAAAGAGGGACACUACAUACUGCUUAAGGGAACCAUACACCAACAAGACAUAACAAUCAUAAAUAUUUAUGCCCCAAACAAUGGUGCAGCUAUGUUCGUCAAACAAACUCUUCUCAAGUUCAAGAGUCUAAUAGACCACCACACCAUAAUCAUGGGAGACUUCAACACACCUCUCUCGCCACUGGACAGAUCUUCCAAACAAAAGUUGAAUAAGGAAACUAUAGAACUCAAUAACACUAUUAAUAACCUAGACCUAAUUGACAUAUAUAGAGUAUACCACCCAACAUCAAGCAGUUACACUUUUUUCUCAGCAGCACAUGGAUCCUUCUCAAAAAUAGAUCAUAUAUUAUGUCACAGGGCAACUCUUAGACAAUAUAAAGGAGUAGAGAUAUUACCAUGCAUCUUAUCUGAUCAUAAUGGAAUGAAACUGAAAAUCAACGAUAAAAGAAGGAAGGAAAAAGCAUACAUCAAUUGGAGAAUGAACAAUAGGUUACUGAAUGAUCAAUGGGUUAUAGAAGACAUCAAGAAGGAAAUUAAAAAAUUCUUAGAGAUAAAUGAAAACACAGACACAACAUAUCGGAAUCUAUGGGACACAUUGAAAGCAGUUCUAAGAGGAAAAUUCAUUGCUUGGAGUUCAUUCCUUAAAAAAAGAAAAAACCAACAAAUAAAUGAUCUCAUACUUCAUCUCAAAAUCCUUGAAAAAGAAGAGCAAAACAACAGCAAAAGAAGUAGAAGGCAAGAAAUAAUUAAAAUCAGAGCUGAAAUUAAUGAAAUCGAAACAAAAGAAACAAUUGAAAAAAUUGACAAAACUAAAAGUUGGUUCUUUGAAAAAAUAAACAAAAUCGACAGACCCUUAGCGAUGCUAGUGAAGAGAAGAAGAGAGAGAACUCAAAUUACUAGCAUACGGGAUGAAAAAGGCAAUAUCACAACAGACACUUCAGAAAUACAGAAGAUAAUCAAAAACUAUUUUGAAUCCUUAUACUCCAAUAAAUUAGAAGAUAGUGAAGGCAUAGAUAAAUUUCUUAAGUCAUAUGAUCUGCCCAGAUUGAGUCAGGAGGAUAUAGAAAACCUAAACAGACCAAUAUCAAUUGAGGAGAUAGAAGAAACCAUCAAAAGACUACCAACUAAGAAAAGCCCAGGUCCCGAUGGGUAUACAGCAGAAUUUUACAAAACCUUUAAAGAAGAACUAAUACCAAUACUUUUCAAGCUACUUCAGGAAAUAGAAAAGGAGGGAGAACUUCCAAAUUCAUUCUAUGAGGCCAACAUCACCCUGAUACCUAAACCAGACAAAGACACUUCAAAGAAAGAAAACUACAGACCAAUAUCUCUAAUGAACCUAGAUGCAAAAAUCCUCAAUAAAAUUCUGGCGAAUCGGAUACAAAAACAUAUAAAAAAAAUUGUACACCAUGAUCAAGUAGGAUUCAUCCCUGGGAUGCAAGGCUGGUUCAAUAUACGGAAAUCAAUAAAUGUUAUUCACCACAUCAAUAGACUUAAAAAUAAGAACCAUAUGAUCAUCUCGAUAGAUGCGGAAAAAGCAUUUGACAAAGUACAGCAUCCCUUUAUGUUCAAAACUCUAGAAAAACUAGGGAUAACAGGAACAUACCUCAAUAUUGUAAAAGCAAUCUAUGCUAAGCCUCAGGCUAGCAUUAUUCUGAAUGGAGAAAAACUGAAGGCAUUCCCUCUAAAAUCUGGAACAAGACAGGGAUGCCCUCUCUCUCCACUUCUCUUCAACAUAGUUCUCGAAACACUGGCCAGAGCAAUUAGACAGACGAAAGAAAUUAAAGGCAUAAAAAUAGGAAAAGAAGAAAUUAAAUUAUCACUAUUUGCAGAUGAUAUGAUUCUAUAUCUAGCAGACCCAAAAGGCUCUACAAAGAAACUAUUAGAGCUAAUAAAUGAAUUCAGCAAAGUGGCAGGAUUUAAAAUCAACACGCAUAAAUCAAAGGCAUUCCUGUAUAUCAGCGACAAAUCCUCUGAAAUGGAAAUGAGGACAACCACUCCAUUCAAAAUAUCUUCAAAAAAAAUAAAAUACUUGGGAAUCAACCUAACAAAAGAGGUGAAAGACUUAUACAAUGAAAACUACAGAACCCUAAAGAGAGAAAUAGAAGAAGAUCUUAGAAGAUGGAAAAAUAUACCCUGUUCAUGGAUAGGCAGAACUAACAUCAUCAAAAUGGCGAUAUUACCAAAAGUUCUCUAUAGGUUUAAUGCAAUGCCAAUCAAAAUCCCAAUGGCAUUUCUUGUAGAAAUAGAGAAAGCAAUCAUGAAAUUCAUAUGGAAAAAUAAAAGACCCAGAAUAGCAAAAACAAUGCUAAGCAAGAAGUGUGAAUCAGGCGGUAUAGCGAUACCAGACUUCAAACUAUACUACAGAGCAAUAGUAACAAAAACAGCAUGGUACUGGUACCAAAACAGGCGUGUGGACCAAUGGUACAGAAUAGAGGACACAGAAACCAAUCCACAAAACUACAACUAUCUUAUAUUUGAUAAAGGGGCUAAAAGCAUGCAAUGGAGGAAGGAUAGCAUCUUCAACAAAUGGUGCUGGGAAAACUGGAAAUCCAUAUGCAACAAAAUGAAACUGAAUCCCUUUCUCUCGCCAUGCACAAAAGUGAAUUCAAAAUGGAUCAAGGAACUUGAUAUCAAAUCAGAGACGCGCCGUCUGAUAGAAGAAAAAGUUGGCUACGAUCUACAGUCGGUGGGGUCGGGCUCCAAAUUCCUCAAUAGGACACCCAUAGCACAAAAGUUAAUAACUAGAAUCAACAAAUGGGACUUACUCAAACUAAGAAGUUUUUUCUCAGCAAAAGAAACAAUAAGAGAGGUAAAUAGGGAGCCUACAUCCUGGGAACAAAUCUUUACUCCUCACACUUCAGAUAGAGCCCUAAUAUCCAGAGUAUACAAAGAACUCAAAAAAUUAGACAAUAAGAGAACAAACAACCCAAUCAACAAAUGGGCCAAGGACCUGAACAGACACUUCACAGAGGAGGACAUACAGUCAAUCAACAAGUACAUGAAAAAAUGCUCAACAUCUCUAGCUGUCAGAGAAAUGCAAAUCAAAACCACCCUAAGAUACCAUCUCACUCCAGUAAGAUUGGCAGCCAUUAGGAAGUCAAACAACAACAAGUGCUGGCGAGGAUGUGGGGAAAAGGGUACUCUUGUACAUUGCUGGUGGGACUGCAAACUGGUGCAGCCAAUUUGGAAAGCAGUAUGGAGAUUUCUUGGAAAGCUGGGAAUGGAGCCACCAUUUGACCCAGCUAUUCCCCUUCUUGGUCUAUUCCCUAAAGACCUAAAAAGAGCAUGCUACAGGGACACUGCUACAUCGAUGUUCAUAGCAGCACAGUUCACAAUAGCAAGACUGUGGAACCAACCUAGAUGCCCUUCAAUAGACGAAUGGAUAAAAAAAAUGUGGCAUUUAUACACAAUGGAGUAUUACUCUGCAUUAAAAAAUGACAAAAUCAUAGAAUUUACAGGGAAAUGGAUGGCAUUAGAGCAGAUUAUGCUAAGUGAAGCUAGCCAAUCCCUAAAAAACAAAUGCCAAAUGUCUUCUUUGAUAUAAGGAAAGUAACUAAGAACAGAGUAGGGACGAAGAACAGGAGAAGAAGAUUAACAUUUAACAGGGAUGAGAGGUGGGAGGGAAAGGGAGAGAGAAGGUAAAUUGCACGGUAAUGGAAGGAGACCCUCAGGGUUAUACAGUGGAGGGGGUAGAGAGAGAGGAGGGGAGGGGAGGGGAGAGGUGGGGAGGGGGGAGGGUGGAUGAUGGGAAAGGCAGCGGAGCACAACAGACACUAGUAUGGCAAUUUGUAAAUCAAUGGAUGUGUAACUGAUGUGAAUCUGCAAUCUGUGUAUGGGGUGAAGGUGGGAGUUCAUAACCCACUAGAAUCAAAGUAUGGAAUAUGAUAUGUCAAGAAAUUUGUAAUGUUUUGAACAACCCACAAUAAAAAAUUAAAAAAAAAAAAAAAAAAAAAAAAAAAAAAAGUUAAUGAUAACAAUCAGUAUAGUAGAAGAAGCGGAUUAGGGAGAGAGAAGGAAGAAGGGGCAAGAGAAGGUAGGGAAGGCAGGGAAUAAGACUGAUCAAAUUAUGAUAUGUGUGUGUCCAUUAAGACAUAGAGUCCUACCAUGUGUAUAAUUAUAGUGCACCAAAAAAAAAAACAACACAAAAAAAACUGUUCACAGUAAGUAUCAUGUGCAUAAAAUUGAGUUCUGGUAAAAGUUCUGGUAAAUUUUGUAUUUUAACCUGUUGUUAAUGGUGCCUUUUCUAUUCUUGUAACUUAAUAUAUACCUGUAUUUAAAUUGUGCUUGUAAAUUAUAAAGUAUCAAAACCUCUUAAUAAAGUUGUAUCCCAUUAAAAAGUUAUAAAAUAGUGAUUACAAAACUUUUUUAUGGAAAACCCACAAGAAAUAGCUUUUAGGAAUAGGGUUUAUGUCUCUCAAUCCAAAAUUUGUAUAUCUUUAUCCUCAACAGAUUGACUCACGAACAUCACUGUUCUGAAAAAAAUGCAUCUCCAAAUUAUUGGAACACGAUUUUAUAAAAAUGCUUAAUGUUGUAUUGAAAUAGAUGGCAACAAAAUCCUAAAACUACAAAUGGGUGUAUUACCCUCCAAUGUCUUCUUCAUGAGUGACACUGUCAAAAUUUUUCAAAGUUGAUAUUCUGCUACGGUAAUUGAUAAAAUUUUACUUAAAUAAUGAUGCUCAUCAAAAAAGUUACUAUUAUACAAAUGCCUGUAUACUAAAGGAGAAACAAAUAAUAAAUUCUAAUUCUGAAAAUAAUACAAUGAUCCUUUAGUUACUGGAAAUAGUCACAUUGAAAAACCUGUAAGAAUGUGUGAAAGUUCACAGAAUUGGUUUAACCUUAAUGUAAAUUAAUCAGUAACCAUGGUAACAUCCAUUUUCAUCUCACUUCAAGAAUUUCACCAGCAGAGAUAAACUUAGAGACUGUCUUAUAAUUGCCUUUGUGACAAUUAGAUCCUUACCCCUCCCUGUCUAAAAGGAGAUAGUAGGUUUUAGAUGUUACUGGUUUCCUUCAAGCUUACUUUCUAUGGUUGGCUACUUCAAUAAAGUCCAGGAAUGUACACAUUCUUCUUUUGUUUGUGUUACUAUACUUUUUUUGCCAGUCAUCAACUCAGAGGCAAAAGUCAGACAUAUAGUGAUGUCUCUCAAAUGCAUAUACAAGUCAACUGUGAUUUUGGAUAAAAUUAGAUUCUCACUGGUAGCUUUGGACUUGUUUAGAAAUGCAGCCUCUCAGAAACAGGGAUCUGAAUCUUCACUUUAACAAUCCAGGCAAGCUAUUUAAAGCUUUCCAAACCACAAUUUCUUUAUCACUAAACAGGUAGUCCUAAGAUAAUGAAUGUGAAGUGUCCCCUAACUUCUUUCUCACCUUAAUUUCUCAUCUGCUCAAAUUUGCUCCAUCUCAAUUAUAUGAUGUUUCAUAAAAUCUCCUCUGGCUUCUAUUCUUUACACGAGACAGUUGCAAGUUGCUACAAUCUUCCAUAUUUCUUUCUUUCUUUUUUGCUAUGGUUGCACCACAAUUACUUAUCCAUUAUUUUCCUAAUAUCCACCUAAGUGAAAUCUUUCUGACUUCCACACAUUCUGGACCUUCUUCUCUCUCACACAUUUUUAAGUGAAUGAAAUUAAUUUGUGUGAAUAAUUUCAAUGUUCCUAUUCUUCACUUUAAAAAUACACGUGCAUCUUCAUGCAUUCCUCUUCUGUUAUAUUAUUUCUAAGACACAGUUUCUUCCCUCCUUGCAUUCUUGUUUUGAAACCCUCUUGCUCACCCUGAAUUACCAUGUGUACUUUAUGAUUUUUCUAAUGACAACCAAUUUCUCAUUCUCUAGUUGAUCUUUCCUUUCAGCCUGUAAUUUCAAGUCUUACCUCUCCGGGAGAACUUUGUCCUUGACUAUCCUAACUCUUCAGGCUCUCUUCCAUUUUCCUCUUGGGUGAAUACUGUACAUUUACUUCUUAUACCUAAUGAUAUUUUUCUCACCCUAAAAACUCUAAUGAUACUCUUUACUGAAUAUCUCCAAUGAUGCUGGGACAUCAAUCCCAAGUUCCCUUUAAAGUCAUCAUCACCCUGGAGCAUUUGCAGCAUGCAGUGAACUUUAAACACUUCUUCCUUCGUAAAAGUCACUUCUUCCAGAGAUUCCAUCACUGCCUUCUUGUCUAUUCUUACAUUUUUGUUUGUUUUCAUACUUUGAUGAUAUGUUCUUAUUGCCUUUGCCUUGUUUUUCUUCCUUUUCAGGCAUGUUUAAAUGCAGACAAUUUUUCUGCACAUCUGUGCUCAGUGAUAGACACAAUGGACAGGGACACAGCUGUGCCUGGGAAUUUUUAAUGAAUACAUGAGUCAAUACGUGAACAUAUUUUACAACCUUCUCCUCCUUUUUUACAUGUUCCUAUUGAAACUUACCUUUAAUAAUUUGGUUUCAAUUAUCAGUUUUAUAGGAAAUAUUUUCAAAACAACAUUUCUAGAUCUGACUGUACUUCUUGGUUCAAGUUCUACUUUCUAAACUUCUGACUAGAUAGUUCUGCCUGCACAUUCCCCAAUUGUCCUGAACGAAAAAUACUCAAAACAAAAUGUAUCCCUUGAUGUCAAAACCAAUUUUGUUUUCUGGAUUCUUACUUUCUGUCCCUGACUCUUUGAACAGUAUAUUAAAAAUAAUUUAGUUAGUCUCAGGGACGACAUUAUUUUUCAUACUUCUUUGAGGUAAAAAGCAUUUUAUUUGUUCAACUACUUAAAUAUCAUUUUUAAAUUAGUGUUAUGGCUUAGAUAUGUGGUAUAUCACAAAAAAAAUCAGGCGGUAUUAUAGGAUUAUUCAGUGGUUAAAUGAUUAGAUUAUUAGAUCUCUGAUCUCAUCAGUGGAUUAAUCCAUUUGAUGAAUUAAUAAUUUGAAUGGAUUACUGAGUGGUCAUUGUAGACAGUUGAGGUGUGACUACAGGAAGCAUGCCACUGAGGCUGUGCCCCUGGGGAUUAUAUUUUGUCAUGGCUCCUUGCUCACUCUCUCUGCUUCCUGACGACCACAAGCUAAAUAGCUUUCCUUCACACCAAACAUUUCUACCAUGAUGCUCUGCCUCAUCUUGGGCUCAGAAGAGUGGAGUUGGCUAACCAUGGAUGGAACCUCUGAAAUCAUGAGCCCAAAAUAAAUUUUUUUCCUCCUCUAAGUUGUUUUUGCCAGAUACUUAGAUCACAGUGACAAAAAGUUGACUAACACAAAUAGUAAAAUCUGUGAACAUUUGCAUGUUUUUCUAUCACUUUCAGAGGCUGCGCAUUGAUAAGUAGAAGGCAUUUCUUGGAUACCAUGUUGAUUUUUAGCCAUUUGUACACACCUAAGCUAUUCUGAUGUAUGCCUAUCAAAAAUAAAGGAAAAGAAAAAUGGAUAGUCUUUAAUCUCAUUUCUGUAAUCUCUGAUUUCAUUAGCAUUUUGAGACUGAAUACAUUUUAUUAGAAUUAAGAUCCAAAUAUAAUCUUAUUCCUCUUUAUCUGUCAAUAAGUAUUUAUUGAAUACCUAAUAUGUUUCUAAGUUCCAUAUCAGAUACUGGGAUGCAUGAAGCACUAGCUCUUCCUACGAUGCUAAUAUAAGGAAGUCAAUCUAUCAUAGCAUUGUUGAAUAACCCAAGAUGAGGGAAAUAUGUGAAAAUAUGUGUAUAUAAAAGACAAAGUAUAUGACACAAGUAUCAUUGCUGAACAUAAUGAAAGAGGAGAAAUUUACAAAAAGAAAACCAAUAUUCCUUCAGGAAUUAAUCACUAUUCUAGCUGCAUUUUAUCUGGUAAUUUGUUCAGGUUUCUGUAAUACUCAUAAUCAAUAGUAAUAGAAUAGUUAUAGUUGAUAAGAGCAGUAAUGUUGAAAGCAAGCACAUGUAGAAAUUGCAUGUGUUCUAGGAUUUUUCAUAGGUUUUCCCAUUUAAUCCUCCUAAGAACUCUAAGUGGCAGGUACUUCUACUUUAUCUAUUUUAUAAAUAAAUUAACUUAGGAACAGAGCAGUUAAAUAACUUGCCCAAGGGCAUGAAUCUCGUUAAAAGAGGAGCCUGAUAAUGAUACAGUUUUAUAUGCUUUUAGAAUUUUUAUGAGGUAAUUUAGUUGAAGCACCCACUGCAGUGACUGAUUCUGCAUCUGCCCAAUCAACAUCAGUUUACUUCAUUCCAACUAAGUACUAGUUACCUAAUCUUCUCAAACUUCAGAGUACACCAGAAUGGCCAGAGGGCUUGGACAUACCCAGAUAUAUGAGUAAUUUUCCUAGCUCUUCUGAUUUAAUAGGUUGGAAGUAGUACCCCCAAAUCUGUAUUUCUAACAAGUCUCCUAGUGAGGUAAAUACUGCUGACCAAAGGACUUUGUGAACUCCUGACCUGGUGUUUGCUAAAGAGAAUUACCUGUCUCCAGAAGCUGACUCCCAGUGUUAAUUCUCAAAGACUGUUUUGAGAAUAAGUAAAGAUUUACACAAACAGAGUAAAAGAAGGACAAAUACAGAUACUAGUGAAAUUAUAUAGUUACCUUGUGUGUAUGUGCAUGUGUGAACAUAUAACAACAAAUUCCAUCAUUAUGUAUGACUAUAACACAUGGAUAAAAAAUGUAGAAAGGAGAGAAAUAGACAAAAAAAUAAAAAUAAAAGGAAAAAAAGGAGAAAAAUCAUCAAGGAAAUUUUUAAUAAAAAGUCCCAGAACCAAAGAAAGCAAAUUUCCAAAUUAAAAGGGCUCACUAGGUAAAUCAGAACAAUGGACAAAAUAGACUCAAAGCACAGUCUUGUGAUAUUUCAGAAUAUAGAGAACCAGAUCUGAGUUAAAAAAUAAAAUUACACAAACACAAUAAAAGAAGGAGGACAAAUACAAAUUGGAUAGUAACAUAAAAACAUGUCAAUAUAUAUUAUUUUCAUGUUGAAUAGUCAAGCCUGCUUAAAAAGAAGCAUUUCUACUCCAGGUUUUUUAAAGAUCAGGACACCAAAGACAUUAAGGUUAAGUAUUCUGGCAGAAGUUAUAUUAAAAUCCUAGAGAAAUGAAACUAGAAUUUAGAAAUGUGAAAUUUUCAGCAUGCAACCCAGUUCAUUUAUCUACUUUGUAUUCUUGCAGAAUUAAAAUAAUCUGCCAAGGUUAAAAAGUGUGUCAAACUUCACCCCCAAAGGGAAUCAGCAGAAGACCGAAGAUACCUUCCUCUGAGAUCUCUCUUUUCAACAAGAAACACUUCAUCUUUGGCAGUAUAUACAGAUGUAUUAAAUAUGUUUUAUAAAGGUCAGCUUGCUCUGAAACUUGAAAUAAGAACUUGACAUGAUGGGUCUACAAAUCCCACUAAAUCUUAUACAGCUCUAAAAUAUUUAAAUGCAGAACAUUCUUUGGAGACUAUGAACAACAGAUUUUAUUCACAACAUGGGCCUUCUAUCCUUGCAAUUUCUGUGGCUGAAAAUCUCAGCAACUGCUGAAAUAUUCAGAAAGAUGUGCUUUAUCAAAAAUAAUUGUGAUUUUGGUAUAAACUGAAUAAAAAAUAUUGAAGGAAUAAAAAAUAACAACAAAAAACCUACUGCAUUUGUUCUCUAACUUGGGUUAAGGAUACUCCUACAGCAACCUCAGGUAAAUACCUAUAAAAUAUCUAUUAGUUAUCAACCAAGUAUUAUGCAAAAAGAUGAAUUAUGGGACUUUACAUUAUGUUCAUAAUUCUGAUUCUAUGAAACUAUAGUAAGUGUUAUCCACUAGACUUUUAGUACUCAGUAUUUUUCAUUGCUUGACCACAGAUAAACAAAUUCAUUGCUAUUAGUAGAACAAAAUUUGUGGAUACCAUUUAUAGUAGGGUGUCCUGUUAAAACAUACAAGGCAAUAAUUGCAAUAUGCUUAUAUUAAUGAAGCAUUUAUUGUUUAUAUAAAAUUAAACUUUAGAAAGGCAUUUUGGCAUUUUUUCCUAAAC